rnacentral:lncRNA from 1 species
AAAAAAAAAAGAAAGAAAGAAGAACCAUAUGAAUAAAUUUAAAGUGAAUUUAUGAAUUCACGGGAUAAGGAAAAUAUACUCUUUAAACUUGCCUUGGAUGAGCCAUGGAACUCAAAUGACGUAAUGGAGCUGUCAGGUAACUUGCAUAUAACAAGGUUGAUAGGAUCAAAGUUAGAUGGUAAACAAUUUGAAGGAUAUCUGUGCCAUUCCAGUACUCUUAAACCUUCUGGAAAAUAAUUGGGACCUUUGGAAAAUUUGCAAUUUCUAAUAAUAAGUAUUUUAAGGUUUUUCAUCUUCAUGAAGGCGUUUUCAUUCCAUUCCACUGUUUCUUCUUUGUCAGAUAUGGAGAAAUCCAGACAUAUGAUUUCAAUUUUACUAGUCCCCUGUUAAUGCAAAAAGGCACGAAUCAACCACAAUACAACUUGUAUGAAAUAUCAAUUGACUCACUUAGAGAAAUUUACAAAUUAUCAAGAAAAAGUUAACUAUGAUGUAAAUAUGAGAUAGGCAAAAAAAAUUUCAACUAUUCAUGAGCUCACUCACCGUGUUGUCUUUUAAAACUUGAAUGAUAUCUUUUGGUAACAAUAAUCUCUUGCACUUCCCUGGCUCUUCUGGUGAUCCAACUUGUAUGAAAUAUCAAUUGACUCACUUAGAGAAAUUUACAAAUUAUCAAGAAAAAGUUAACUAUGAUGUAAAUAUGAGAUAGGCAAAAAAAAUUUCAACUAUUCAUGAGCUCACUCACCGUGUUGUCUUUUAAAACUUGAAUGAUAUCUUUUGGUAACAAUAAUCUCUUGCACUUCCCUGGCUCUUCUGGUGAUCUCUGCCGCUCAAUUUCUCUACCCAUGUCCUGGAUCAUGUCGUGCAUUUCAACAGUAUCACAGCAGCUAACCUUUACGAGAGAUUUUUCAACCAACACCCCAAUAUGAUGUUUGGUGCAGUUACCAUAAAGGUCACGGAGUAUAUCAUCAACCUCUGUCCAUUUAUACCCUUUGAAUCAACAAGCAAUGCCAAGAAAAACAUUCUUUUGUUCUUCCCCCAAAGCAUCAAAGCUUACUUUUAGAAUCUCUUGGAUUUCAUCACUGGGAAUUCUUUUAUAAUGUUCCAUAGCAGAUUCCCAUUCAGCUACAGUUUUUUCAAACAAGUUGGAACCUAUAACUUCCAAAGCCAAUGGAAGGCCAGAAGCAUAAGUUACUACACGAUUCAAGACAUCCUCAUAACUUGGAUCAAUUUUUUCUCUUUUAAAAGCAUUCCACGUAAGCAAUUGAAGAGCAGCACUCUGAUUUAAAACCUUCACCUCAUAGGUUCUUUCAACCUCAUGAUAUUUUAGCAGAUGUUUGUCCCGAGUGGUAAUGAUGACUCUGCUACAGGGACCAAACCAAUCAGGUCUUCCAACAAUAGCCUUUAAUUGCUCGCGCUUAUCAACAUCAUCUAAAAUCAAGAGAACCUUCUUUCGUUGGAGCCUAUGUUGUAUCAUUGAAGCUCCUUCUUGCCAACUUGUUAAGGUGAUGUCCUUCUCCCCAAGUAAUUUUGAAAGAAGGAUGCUUUGAAGGUGUUUUAACCCAUGUUUAUUUGAUUCUUCUCUCACAUUUUGAAGAAAACAGGAUUCAUCAAAAUGGAGAGCAAUCAAAUUAUAAACUGCCAGAGCAAGUGUUGUUUUUCCUAACCCGCCCAUUCCAUGGAUCCCUAUGAUGUGGACAACAUCAUGGGAUCCAACAUCCAAAAGCUUCCUUACCUCUAUCACUUGUGACCCUAGACCAACUGGAUAAUCCGCAACAUGUAAAGGAGCACGAUUAAUCUCCCUAGAAACCUGCUCAAAAUACUCUGGAUAAACUUGUAUUCAUAUGCAUCUCUGUUUCAAACAAACAAAAUAAGUUCUGAUGAAGUCAGCCUAAAAGCCUUGCAUCCAUGUCUUGAUAGGUACAUUAAUUGUCAAGGUUAACAAGAGCAUUUCUUUUCUAUUUAAAUUUUACUAGUUAAAUCAAUCGACAAGUAAAACCUAAUCCAAUAAAAACCAUAAAGUAAAAUAUAUUACUAUGAUUGUAUACCCAUCUUUGAAAUGAUAGCCACACAAGUCAGCUACUUGUUUCAAAGCGAUCCUCCAUUUCUGCAGCUUCUCCUUCCUAGCUUUGAACCUCUUCUGAUGCUUAGCCAUUUCUUCUUCAUAACUACCUUUCUGGUGUCUGACAUCAGAAGGAUCUACGUUGUAAAAGACCGGUAUAACCAACAGCCCUUUCCUCUUGCAGUGAAGGAUGGUUACAAGUUCAUCUAAACAAAAUGAGGAAGAAGCAUAGUUUUCAGAAAGCACAGUGAUAGCAAUCCUGGACUCUUGAAUUGCCUUCAAAAGUGCAGGUGUUAUUUCCUCUCCGCUGUGAAGCUUCUUUUCGUCAAAGAAGGUAUGAAUUCCCUUGUCACAAAGAGCCCUGUAUAGAUUGCCAGUGAAACCAUGGCGUGUGUCUUCCCCUCUGAAGUUGAGGAACACAUCGUAGAUGGAUGCACGGGAACAUGUUGUUGCAGCCAUUAUUAGAAGAAAAAAGUUUAGUAUGAUUAUGGUUGAUAUGGUGGGAGUGUAGAAUCAAACUUGAACAAAUAUGAAAAUGAAAGUAUACCAAAUGUUAUAAAAGUCAAGGCAAGCUCUUGUAAAGAAAGAUGCUCUCACUUUUUUCAUUUUAAAACCUACUUUUUAUAAUCAAAUUAUUACAAAUAAACAAUAAAAGUAUUUUUAAUAAUGGGUACUGUAUUUCAAAUAAUUAACUGGUGGUACUACUAAUUCUCCCGCCCCAAAAAGAAUUGUUAAUUAGAGAAUCAAAAUAUAUAUUAACUAAUAAGUAAUCUGAUAAUUUUUAAUCACAAGAGCUUUAAAAUUUGUCUUUUAUAUAUAUAAAUUUCUCAUUGAAAGAGUUUUAUAAUUACCUUGAUAAUUUUGCUGAAAACACCCACACAUAAGAUGUUUUACUUUAAGUCAGAUGUAUUUGUUCGAAAAGUAAUAGAAGUUAAUUUUGUAUAAUAAAAAUAAUGUGAGUAAAUUAUUUUACAAGAAAUUUAUAUCCGUAUUUUUUUAUAAAAAUUAUCCAAAAUCAUCAAUCACUCAUCAUUUUCUUCCCUUCCCAAUGUACUGUUGACAUCCUUAAUAUAUUUUCAAGUAUUUUUCAGUAACUACUGAAUUUUUUGUUUCACAUAACAAACCACACUGAAACUCUGGCAUGAUUAUAUGGAAUUAUUUAUCUCUCAUAGUUGAUUCUAUUUACCACAUUUUGUAGAAACUAGAUCAUUUUUCCUCACACAUUUCUUGUGGUCUUUUGCAAGAAUGAAAAGUUAAAAAGUGUGUUUCAUUGCAGUAAAUUUCUGGUGGUUCGUGUUGAGACUCGUUGGCAAGUGUACCAAAUCGUCACAAGUAGUAAAGUACUCGGAAGUCCGAGUGUCGAAUCCACAGGGACUUUGUUUGUACUUAGAUUAAUGCAAAUCCAACUUAAAAGCAAGAGAUAAGAAUUUAAAAAAAAGAUAGAAGAUAAGGUAAAGAAAAGAUAAAAGAUUUAAAGAUAAAAUUAGGAGAUGAAAGAAUUAAAGAUAAAAUUAAAAGAUAAAGAAAAAGAUAAAAGAUAAAAGAUUUAGAUAAAAUAAUAUUAGGAACUGACUUGCCUUGUCUGCCUAGGAUGUAUGAGUUUAUGAUUUUUUCUUUACCAAUUCAGGUGAUUUUAUCCCACCCACAUCUAUUCAUUUACUUGCCCCUGAUGCCUCACAAUGACAAGUCUAUUUUACCUAUCUAUCCCCCAAAUGCCUUUGCAAAGACUCAAUAGAUAAAAUGCAUGAAGUUCUAAUUCUAGAUGUUUGCUUUGACGCAUGGGCAUAAUGCAAUCACUCUAUGCCUAGCAAUGAUUUUAUUAUGAUAUCUUUUCUUCUUGUUCUAUUAGAAGUUAUCCUCUCCCGAGCGUCUAACCCCUAAAACUAAUGCAUGCAUAUCUUCUUUAAAUCUUAUUUAGAAGUUACCCUCUCCCCUGAGCAUCUAACCCCUAACAGAAUAUAAAGAUGAGUAUGCAAGAUAAAAAUAUAAAAGAAAAUAGGAAAGAAAAACCUAGUAUUGCAUUGAUAAAUAGUGAAGAGUACAUCAUACAUCACUUUGGCUUCUAGGCCUGCCAGGCCCUAACUAAGGGUUUAGCCACUCAUGGCCGAGGGCUUUACAAGUAGAAGAGGGGGGAAAGAAAAGGAGUAAAUGAAACCCCUAGGAGAGGGGGUUCUGUCGUGGUGUGUUCUAUCCCUUGGACUGGCUCUCUAUUUAUAGCUGCUGAAGUGGGCUUUGGGCCUUCGUAGGCGCGCUCAGCGCGACACCCCCACGCUCAGCGCGUGUAGAUCGCGCGCUUAGCGCGCAUGUUUCAGGCUUAGCGCACGCUUCUGUUAGAUCGCGGGCUUAGCACGCGUGUUGCAGGCUUAGCGCGCGCUUCUGUUGGAUCAUGGGCUUAGCGCGUAACGCGCGCUCAGCGCACGUAUUGGACUGGGCCUGCUUCAGAUUUUCUUCUUUUCUUCAAUUUUUCUAGCCUUUUUGCUUGUUAUACCUUCAGUUUUUAUAUCUGCAGCCAAAAUUCAACAAAACAUCAAUUCUUUAAUAUUUAAGCGCAAAUAACUGCUAAAUAAUUAUUUUUAAAGACAAUUUUGCCUUAUUUUCUAUCAUCAAAAUACAAUUAUUUAGCAGUUAUCAGUUCGUGCUUAUAUAUCUGUUUUAUUCCCCUGUAAGAGUGCUGAUUUUCUUUUAAUUCUGUUGGCUGAUCAAUGCUCAUGUAUAUGUUUCUAAACUUGAAAGUAACGUGAUAUCCAUUCUUCACCUUAAAUUUGUAAGAGAAUAAUUUUCGUUGAUGUAUAUUUCUUUUGCCAGCUCUCCGUCAUUUUCGUUGAUGUAUAUUUCUUUUGCCAGCUUUUGAUAUAAAUUUUGUCAUAAUUGAACAAGAUUGAAUCAUUUAGAUAGAUAGAUAAUAGCAACAUAUUAUUUAGUAUCGUUCAUUUUCUUAAAAGAAAACUUGUGUAUACUUGUGAAAUGAAACAACGAAAUAAUAGUUGGUUCACUUUGAUUGUUUAAAAAAAAAAAAACUACAUGAAAUGAAUUACAUUAUGAGAAAGAACACAUACCUAAAAAAAGAGUAAAGUGAAAUUAAGUAGCUCAUUCAUGCCAUUAAGUAAAUUAUAAUAAUUUUUCUUAACUUAAGAACAAAUGCUACAAAUAAAUGUUGAGUUUAGAGACGAAACCAAUACCAAGUUGAAUAUGUUGGGGAGGAUUCUGCUGAACUCUCUCUUGACGUGAUUAAUGAAGUUUUUCUCUAUUUAUCAUUAUCCUAAUGUUCUUUGCACCGUCAAAUUUACUUUAACUGUGAUCUCUCACAUAAAAGAGCCUAAUCCUCCUAAUUUCAUUCUUGAUUCCUCAAUGAAUUCCGUCUAAGUGGGCCACAUUACAAAUUAGAUGCAAAUUAUACUAGAUUAGUUCACACUAUUCUUAGAAAUGAAGACUUCUAGAUGUUCUACCAAGUUCUAAGGACUAAAAGAAUUUCCCAACACUUCAAUCCUAACAAAGCAUAUAAAUGGAUAAUCAAGCCACAAAUAUUAAAGACAACCACAGAUAGAAGUAGAUAACACUAGCAAAUAAUAUUAAAUAGAUAGUUAGAGUUUUUGCAUCAAGAGUGUUGAGUGAAAAACUCUCCAACAAUGAAGUGUUUAGCCCUUCAUUAGCAUGGAGAGCUCAGUACAAGGCUAAAAAUAAGGUAGAAAUGGAAUGGUGAAGUAAAGAUAUGGAGAAAGCCGCUUGCUUUUCUUCCUUCAGCCUUGGUGCUCUGUUUUCGUCUCACCCACGCUGCAUGUGUUGUUUGGCUUCCCCCUCUCUUCCAGCUUUAAAGGCUUUUGGGCUUCUCAAAUUAUGAAUGUGCGUUUAGCGAGCAUGUCUCGCUGAGUGAGAGUUCGUGACUGGGUGCUUAGCGGAUGUGGAUGCGCUAAGCACGAGAAACGACAAAGGCAGUUACUGGGCAAGCUGGCUGCAGCUAAGCACAAUGCUCUUUGAAUUUACAUUCUCUAAGAGUUUUCUCUCACUGGGUGAGUUGGCUUCCUCGCUAAACAGAUUAGGCUCGCUUAGCUAAUCGCUAAACAAGCUCUUCAGCAUGCACUUCCAAAUCUUGCUUCCUUAAACCUGAAAAUCCAAAUGAUAAUAAUAUCAAUCAUCAAAAUGAAGCCUCCACCGUAUAAAACUCACACAAAAUCAAUUAUAUACAAAUCUCACGCAAGAAACCAUAAUACUAAUUAGAGUUACAUUGCCACUUUUCAUCUACUUUUCAAUACAUUUGGUACUCUUGAAUAACAAUUAUCAAUUUAUUUCUUUGGCUACUUCCUAUCCUUAUUUAUGCCACGUUUUUAAUUUCCAUUCAUAAAUUUAAAAACAACAAGCUAUCAGCCAUCCUAAGACAAUCCUUAUGCAGAAAAUGAAGAAGACAUUAUCUAGCUUAAAGAUAUUUGAUCCAAUAAAUUACACUAGUUAUUCUUGAGAUUUUGUGAAAUUUCACAAACUUUUCAUACUUUUUUUACCCCUACACUAACCCCUUAAUUAUUUCGAAAACAUUAUUCCGAUACCUUUUAUACAUUAUACUAAUCCACCUUAAUUGUUUGAAGAACAUUACACUGUGUUCGCUUAUAAAGAAAGUAGUUGUAAAUGUUAAAAAAACAAGAAAGACUUGUGCAAUUUCACGAAAUCUCAAAAAAUAUAUAUUGGUGUAAUUUAUUAUAUAUACUUGAUUUAAUUAAUUUAGAGAGGCAUAUAGAAGUAGAAGUAAACAGAAAUCUAUUUAUAUGCCCAACUCAAACUCAAUAAGAAUCCUAGGUAGGCAUUCUGCUUACAAGUAUGCAAAAUUUAACUUUCUCAACUGCUAUGAACAGUUGAUAUAGAUCAUAUAGGAGUAUGCCAGCUAAAUCCUAAGAAGUACACUUUCAAAAUUUAACUAAUUGAAGUUUUUCUGGUUCCUGAUCAAAUUAUUUAGCAUAACCAGCAGGAACCUGAUCAUCAUAGCAAUUAGAAGGGUAAAAGUUGAACCUGCAAAAGCAAAAAAGUGAAAGAUCUAAAUUUGUAUUGACUGAAAUAUUUAAAAUGGGUAAAUAACCAAUUUCCUAUAUGAAAGUGUAAAACAAUGUUAAUUUAAUUCCUAAAAGUAAUAAAAUGAAGGAAAGAAGAAAUCUCCUUACCGUAUCACUUUAGUUCCUAAACUUAAUACUUAUUGUCAUUUAAUCCAUGAAGCUAUGCUUAUAUUUUUAAGUCACACAACAUUUAGAAUUUUUGGACUAAAAUUGAAAUAUAUUAUUAAAUAAAUAUACAAAUAUAUUAUUAUAUUGUUUUAUAGUAGAACUUGUAAGGGAAAAUCUAAAACUAAACAAAAAGUAUAUUAAACAAUUUUUUUUUACUUUCUUUUAAUUACAAUGUAUAUAUAAGAUAUCUGUUGGUUUAUGUAAUUUUGAAAUCUAACUAUAAAAAUAUACAGCAAGAUAAAACUUGAAAGGUUAUAUAUAGAAAAUGCAUAAAGUCGUGAAAGAUGAAUAUAAAUGAGUCAAAAGUACAUGACGAAGAUAGGGUAAACACCGGUCAGUUGGGUUAAGUGAAUUUUUGACAACUGAAACCAAAAUAAUAAAAUAAAAAACAUGAAAAAAAUAAGAAAAAAGCUAUGGAAUUGCGUUUCCCAAAGGCUAUGGUUUGUAGCAACGAUGGGCUUUCUGAUGCAGAACUGCUGAGAUAAGGAUCAUCAAAUCGAAUAUCUUCCUCCAUACUGCUUUCUUUGAAUAUAUGGAUUCCACUUGCCUUAAUGAUUGAGCUCUCUAAGUCUAAGACACCUUCUUCUCUCUUUUCUUUUUCAUAGGCUAACACACUUUGAUAUCUAACCUCCACAUGGUUCCAUUCCUUUUCCCUAGCCAUUUCUUCAAACCGAUUAUUAUUUAUGAAAGCAGACGCUUGGAGAUCAAAGAUAUAUGUAUGAUCCAAGUUCAACCUACUUUUUAUCUCGUGUCUUCCAAAAUAGGGCCGAAUUUCUUGAAAUUUGCCAUUGAUGAACACCUUUGGAUUAAGGACAACAAUCCCAGUAGACACAGGUGCAAUAAGAAGACAAAGAAGUUUGGCAGGGAAUUUAUUACGAAACCAGAAAGAACUUGAAGGUCCACUGCUUUGCUGAUCGAACCACUCUGGUAUACUUGUUCCUGUAAACAUAAAAUUGGUUCCUCCAGCCUCAUGCAGUUUCUGUUAGUCAUCAUUCAUAAAGAAAUCAUAAGUUUAACAACAUUAGGUGCACUAUGCAUCAUCAAAUCCUGUACAGUAACAAAAAAGACAAUACCUGAUUUAAAAGCAUGUUUUUACUCGAGGAAGUCAAGGAUGCACAGUUUCUUGCAUCGAAAUACUCUAAGUUUGGUGGAAGACCUCUAAUUUCCUGAAGAUGCUCGCAAUCACUCACCAUAAGUGAUCUUAAUAAUUGCAAUUCUUUGAAGAAUUCAGGAAGGAUUGUGAAAUUAUUCCCCGACAGAUUUAAAUGUCCUACACGAGCAAAGGUCUUGAAACCUGUUAAAAAAAAAUCAUCACAUAGAUUGCAAUCCUUGGCCGAAAACCGAUGUGCCUUUGAAGAUGGUAUUGAGCCCACUUUUUUUUCACCUUCUUCCGAUUCUACCCAUUGCCACCUGUUGCAAUAUUCCAUAUGGAAUUCAAACAGUUCGGGCAUCAUCGCUAAGCUACAUGGUAACUUAACAAUUCCACAGCUCCUCAGGGUUAACCAACGGAGUCCAAUAAGAUUUUGAAAUGAAAAUGACAAUUCUUUUAUGGGAAGGCCAUACAAAAAAAGAUGCUUUAUGUUUUCCAUCUCUCCUAUUAUUUCUGGAAAAUAUUCAAGACUGGAACAUUGAGAAAGUUCAAGUGUUUGAAGAGAGGUCAAGUUGAGAGGCGGAAAACUCUUAAGCUUGCUGCAACCAUACGCACUCAAUUUUUUAAGUUUAUUCAGAAAACCAAUUGAGUCAUCAACUGCAACUAAACUCUCACACUCUUCAAAUGAAAGUUCCCUCAAAUUUGGGAGAUCAGAUACAUCAGGUAUCUGUGUUAAAAAUUUGCAGUUGUCAAACUUCAAAACUGUUAGAUGCCCGAACUUCUGCAAAGGAAAAAAAAAAAUAAAAUAAAUAAGAACCAAAUGAAUAAAUUUAAAGUGACUUUAUUAAUUCACGGGAUUCAGGAAACAGUCUCUUUGCAUAUGCAAGGGUAAGGCUGCGUACAACAUCUCUCCCCCAUACCUUCGCAUAGCGAAGAGCCUGUGGGCUACGAAGUUUAUUAAUUCACGGGAUGAGGAAAAUAUACUCUUUAAACUUGCCUUCGAUGGGCCAUGGAACUCAAACGACGUCAUACAACUGUCAGGUAACUUGCAUAUAACAAGAUUGUUCGGAUGAAAGUUAGAUGGUAAACAAUUUGAAGGAUAUCUGUGCCAUUCCAGUACUCUCAAACCUUCUGGAAAAUAAUUGGGACCUUUGGAAAAUUUGUCAUUUCUAAUAAUAAGUAUUUUAAGGUUUUCCAUCUUCAUGAAGGCGUUUUCAUUCCAUUCCACUGUUUCUUCUUUGUCAGAUAUGGAGGAAUCCAGGCAUAUGAUUUCAAUUUUACUAGUUCCCUGUUAAUACAAAAAGGCACGAAUCAACCACAAUACAACUUGUGUGAAAUAUCAAUUGACUCGCUUAGAGAAAUUACAAAUUAUCAAGAAAAAGAUAACUACAAUGUAACUUUGAGAUAGAAAAAAAAACAAAAAUCAACUAUUCAUGAGUUCACUCACGGUGUUGUCUUUAAAAACUUGAAUUAUAUCUUUUGGUAACCAUAAUCUCUUGCACUUCCCUGGCUCUUGUGGUGAUCUCUUCCGCUCAAUUUCUCUAGCCAUGUCCUGAAUCAAGUCGUGCAUUUCAACAGUAUCAGUACCAUAACAGUUAAGCUUUAUGAGAGAUUUUUCAACCAACACCCCAAUAUGAUGCUUCUUGCAGUUACCAUAAAGAGCACGGAGUAUAUCAUCAACCUCUGUCCAUUUAUACCCUCUGAAGCAACAAGCAAUGUCAAGAAAAACAUUCUUUUGUUCUUCCCCCAAAGCAUCAAAGCUUACUUUCAGAAUCUCUAGGAUUUCAUCACUGGGAAUUCUUUUAUAAUGUUCCAUAGCAGAUUCCCAUUCUGCUACAGUCUUUCCAAACAAGUUGGAACCUAUGACUUCCAAAGCCAAUGGAAGGCCAGAAGCAUAAGUUACUACACGAUUCAAGACGUCCUCAUAACUUGGAUCAAUUUUUUCUCUUUUAAAAGCAUUCCACUUAAGCAAUUGAAGAGCAGCACUCUGAUUUAAAACCUUCACCUCAUAGGUUCUUUCAACCUCAUGAUAUUUUAGCAGAUGUUUGUCCCGAGUGGUAAUGAUGACUCUGCUACCGGGACCAAACCAAUCAGGUCUUCCAACAAUAGCCUUUAAUUGCUCGCGCUUAUCAACAUCGUCUAAAAUCAAGAGAACCUUCUUUCGUUGGAGCCUAUGUUGUAUCAUUGAAGCUCCUUCUUGCCAACUUGUUAAGGUGAUGUCCUUCUCCCCAAGUAAUUUUGAAAGAAGGAUGCUUUGAAGGUGUUUUAACCCAUGUUUAUUUGAUUCUUCUCUCACAUUUUGAAGAAAACAGGAUUCAUCAAAAUGGAGAGCAAUCAAAUUAUAAACUGCCAGAGCAAGUGUUGUUUUUCCUAACCCGCCCAUUCCAUGGAUCCCUAUAAUGUGGACAACAUCAUGGGAUCCAACAUCCAAAAGCUUCCUUACCUCUAUCACUUGUGACCCUAGACCAACUGGAUAAUCCGCAACAUGUAAAGGAGCACGAUUAAUCUCCCUAGAAACCUGCUCAACAAUACUCUGGAUAAACUUGUAUUCAUAUGCAUCUCUGUUUCAAACAAACAAAAAAAGUUCUGAUGAAGUCAGCCAAAAAGGCUUGCAUCCAUGUAUAUUAAUUGUCAAGGUUAACAAGAGAAUUUCUUUUCUAUUUAAAUUUUACUAGUUAAAUCAAUAGACAAGUAAAACCUAAUCCAAUAAAAAUUAUAAAGUAAAAUAUAUUAGUAUGAUUGUAUACCCAUCUUUGAAAUGAUAUCCACACAAGUCAGCUACUUGUUUCAAAGCGAUCCUCCAUUUCUGCAGCUUCUCCUUCUUAGCUUUGAACCUCUUCUGAUGCUUAGCCAUUUCUACUCCAUAACUACCUUUCUGGUGUCUGACAUCAGAAGGAUCUACGUUGUAAAAGACCGGUAUAACCAACAGCCCUUCACUCUUGCAGUGAAGGAUGGUUACAAGUUCAUCUAAACAAAAUGAGGAAGAAGCAUAGUUUUUAGAAAGCACAGUAAUAGCAAUCCUGGACUCUUGAAUUGCCUUCAAAAGUGCAGGUGUUAUUUCCUCUCCUCUGUGAAGCUUCUUUUCGUCAAAGAAGGUAUGAAUUCCCUUGUCACAAAGAGCCCUGUACAGAUUGCCAGUGAAACCAUAGCGUGUGUCUCCCCCUCUGAAGUUUAGGAACACAUCGUAGAUGGAUGCACGGGAACGUGUUGUUGCAGCCAUUAUUUGAUGAAAAAAGUUUAGUAUGAUAAUGGUUGAUAUGGAGGGAGUGUAGAAUCAAACUUGAACAAACAUGAAAAUGAAAGUAUACCAAAUGUUAUAAAAGUCAAGCCAAGCUCUUAUAAAGAAAGAUGCUCUCACUUUUUUUUCAUUUUAAAACCUACUUUUUAUAAUCAAAUUAUUACAAAUAAACAAUAAAAGUAUUUUUAAUAAUGGGUACUGUAUUUCAAAUAAUUAACUGGUGGUACUACUAAUUCUCCCGCCCCAAAAGGAAUUGUUAAUUAGAGAAUCAAAAUAUAUAUUAACUAAUAAGUAAUCUGAUAAUUUUUAAUCACAAGAGCUUCAAAAUUUAUAUAUAUAUAUAUAUAUAUAUAUAUAUAUAAAUUUCUCAUUGAAAGAGUUUUAUAAUUAUCUUGAUAAUUUUGCUGAAGACACCCACGCAUAAGAUGUUUUACUUUAAGUCAGAUGUAUUUCUUCGAAAAGUAAUAGAAGUUAAUUUUGUAUAAUAAAAAUCAUGUGAAAAUAUGAAAAAUGUUAACCAAUAAUUUAGGACAUUAAUUGAUUAAAAAAUAAAAAAAAUGAAAAAUAUCAAAUACGAUAUACUUUUUUUUGUAAUUUUCAAUGAAACUUAUUAUUUUCGUAACGCAAUUUUAAUUUUGGUGGGUCAAAUUAGAUUUUACAUAUUUUAUUUUUAUCUUUACUUCCCAAUUUAUAAUAAAUUUUUAAUCAAAUUUAAAGAUUAAUACACUGAAUAAGUGGUUUGCCAAACUGCUUGUUUUUUUUUUUUUAGCAAGAAGGCAUUCCUGAUACUCUUCUUGAUGCAUAUUAAUAGUAUUCUUUACGUCAUCAAAAAUAAAAUAUACUGAAUAAUAUUUUUCAAUUUAUCUUUCAUUGUAUUCAAACUUCUUUCUCAUUAUAGCCGACUUUUCUACGCAUGAAUAUUGCCAUCCUAAAAAAGGAAUAAUAUUCAUAUUCGUUUUAAUUUUAAAUUAAACAGCCGCGUUUCAUUUGCUUCUCUGACUAAAAGGCAGAAAAACAAACGUGUAGACCUUAAAAUAUUGAUGACUUAUAAAAUAUUUAAAAAAUAAAAAAAGGCUGAGAUAACAUUUAUGAGAAAAUAAAAAUGUGUUAAAAACUCAAUUUAGGUGGCUGAACAUGUAUGAAAAAUAUAUAUUGAGAGAAUUAAUAUUUAUAAAAGUCUAAAUAAAACUUGUGAAUUUAUUUAAAAAUAGAUUUUAUGUCAUUAAGUUGUUGGUACAAAAUAAUUUUAGUUACCUUUGUCAAAAAAUUUAGUUAAUCAUUUUUAAUAAGAACUGACAUUUUAAUUAUAUUUUUUUAUCUAUAAAUUAAAAUUUGAAAUUGAGAUUUUAUUUAAGGAGUUCUAGUCAACUUUUGCUUGAACAAAUCACAUUAUUUGAUGAAAAUAAUUUAAUUAUUAAAGGUGGAAAGAAACAAAAAAUAUAAAAAUAAAAUUAUUAUAAAAUAUUUAAAAGUAAAUAAAUAAUGUCUAUUAACAUAAUCUAUUGAAAAGAAGAUACAAUUAGUAAAAAAAAAAAAAAAAAAAGAGCCAAAUAGGGAUGGCAAGGUCUUCUCCAUAUUAGAAAAUCAAUCUGGGAUAAGACAGAGUAUAUUACCUUUUUUAUCUUCUAUAUGUGCUAACAAAACAUCAACAGCAAAAAUAUAGAAUAGCUUAUAAUGAUUUAUAUCCUCUAAACGUCUCUUUAUUUAACUUGUCCAUCAGUAGAAUCAUCAUUUUCAAUUAUUGACACACACACACGGCUUACAAAUCAGAAUAAGGUACAACAUCCAUUCCGCUGAAUAAACAUAGAAUUAAUACAAAUUAACCUAUAUACAAAUAGAUUGCGACAUAUAUACUCGCUUAUAUUUUUAAAAAAUAACAUGCAAAGCUCUCAUAGCCUCUUAACUGGUGCCAUACUUAGCCUUGUAGUCUUGCCAAAGCUGAUAAACUGCUUUUCCCAGUAACUGAACAAAGAGUUGAUCACUGUAACCAUCCCUCAUCUGCUAAUAGUCAAGAAAAUGAGCAGUAACAUCAUAACCCUGGUCCCAUUUCACUGAACUAAAGAUUUAUACCAAUGAAUCACACAAGGAAAUUUAACACUACAUUUUAAUUCAAAACUUCAAAGAUUAGGUUUAUGAAUCUUUUACUCAUUUUAUAUGUUUUUUUUCUCACUUCUAUGAGAUUUGGAAUUGCACCUCAUACUUACUCCAAUACAACAGAAGGUGAGAAGUAAGCCAUUUGGCGCCAGAAUAGACUAGCUAGACAACUUCCAUUUGAUUGGUUUUGGUAAAUAGUCAAAAUCAAAAAUAGAUAUGAUCAGCCUGCAUUUUAUUCUGGUUGACUAUUUGAACUUAGGCCAACGGACAAUGUUGUUUCAAUCUAGCUACUCUCGUGAAUGGGAUAAAAAUCAAGUGAAGUUAUUUCGGGGCUACAUAUUAUAUAUUUAUAUAUAUAUCAUACCACAUAUCUCUAGACGCCCAUCUUGCCGCGUCUAGUGUCAAUCUUCCAUGACCAUGUCCACUUUCUCCCUCGAAAGCACGGAACUGAGAAAUUAAGAUAAUAUGAUACAUUAAGGGAUGUUUGGUAGAAGAGAAAUACUUUCAUAAAUUUUGGGACUCAUAUUUUGUAGAAAUGAAUAAAAUUUAUUUGGAUGAUUUUUAAAAUAUUAUAUAAUUUUUUUAGAAAUCAAAGAAUUAUAUAUAUUUUUAUCGAUUAUUUUAAUUAUUUAUCACAUUAUAUAAUUUAAUAUAACAUAACAAGAUAUUUUUAUCAUAAUAAAAAAAUUAAACUUGAAGAAAAAGUAAAAUUCUCACUUUUUGUUAUUGGAGAAUUUUCGUGAGAAACUAAUUAAAAAAUAUUUUUAGAAAACAUUAUUUAGGAAUGCAAUUUUUUAAAAAAUGUAUACUAAAAUGAGAAAUUAAGUUUUUCAUCUUAUGAUUAUCAGAAAAUUAAAAAUUUAUCUUCUACCAAAUACUAAAAAAAAAUGAUCCGUACUUAUUACUACUUACAAACAUUUUUACUUAUGGAACCGCGGACAUGAUUAUUUUAGGUAAAACUGGAAAAAAAAAACUUCCACCAACAAUUAUUUGAUAUAGUUAGGUAAACUCUUGACAAACCCUUUCAUGUAAAUGGCGUUACCUUUGCUCUUAAACACAAUUGUCUUGUUUCUUUGGAAAUAUUUCUACUAUGCUCUUUUAGACCAUGGGGAAAAUACUGACUUUGUAUGCUUAAUUGUUUGGAAAAUUUUAGGUGUUAAUGCUAUAAAAUGACAACUAGUUGGGUGCAGUAGGAAUUGAUGGAAAUUCUGUUCUUAGUUAAAGAAAAGUAGCACUUGAGUAGUGACAUUCUUUAAAAAUAAAAAUAUGUAGACAAUUGUUUGUGUUCUGAAAUCAACAGAGUUUUUGAUAAAUAGUAACAGUUUUUAUAUUAAUCCAGCAGGAGCACGACCAUCCCCAUUCCACUGCCAAACGUGCACCAUUUCAUGGUACAGCACACUUGUUAUCUCUGUUUUCACGUCCCCUUUUAUUGUUUCCAUGCAUGUCAUCAACGAAUAAGCUUACCUUCUGCACAUUUUUUCUGUCAGAAGGGUUGCUUUGCUGAAAGAUCCUCCAUAUGAAUUGGGUGGCGGAGUCAAGUGUUGGCUUGGCGUAUUCAGCUCCUAUUAAAAGAGGCAAAGGGUGGGGUCAAUCUUAUUAGGCUCAGGUUUAAAUUUAAUAGAAUUAUUAUGAAUAAUAAUUUUUUUAAAGUAUUUAAUGUAAUUAUAUUUAGAAUUAGAAUAUAAAACAUCAUAAGCUGGAACAAUUAUAAAAUAAAUUUUUAGUACCUAGAAGUUUAUUACUCGAAUUUUUAAAUUUUAGAAUGUAAAAGUUAAAAUUUUAACCUUGUUUUUAUCAUAAAUAAUACCAGAAUAAGAUUAAAAAACAAGAUUAAAAAGUAAAAUGAAAUAAAUAAUGCAAAUUUAAUUUUUUUUAGCAUAGGUGGAGCGGUAAAGUUGUGCCUUGGUGACUUGUUGGUCAUGGGUUCGAGUUUGCAUAUGUAAGGGUAAGGCUGCGUACAACAUCCCUCCCUCAUACCUUCGCAUAGCGAAGAGCCUCUCGGCAAUAAGAUACGAAGUUUUUUUAUAACGAAUUGCUAAGAAUGCAAAACGUGAUUUUUGGAUGCAUGAACUGGAUUCGAAGGUGACUCUUUAGUGUAAAGUUUUGGGCUAUCUAAUACAUAAAUUAUAAUAAAAAAUAAUAACACUCGAUUAUAUGUUAUCUGAAGAAGUUUAUUUACUAUUUUUUAAAUUUAUUUUUUAGCUUCAAUUUAAUCUUCUUAUUUUUAAAAAGUGUGAUUUAGUUUUUUAAUUUAGUGUAUUUAUUUUUAAAGGUUUCAAUUAAUUACUUUAUUUUUUAAAAAAUAGAUUCACUUCUGAUUCCAUUUAAAAUCAAGAUUGGUUUCAUUUUUUGGAAAUGUUGGAAGGUGGCGGAAAGAAAAAGCAACCAAAUUAAACGUGUUUUUAAAAAAUAAAGGACAUGAUUAAACUUUUAUAAAAAAAAAAAAUAGAGGAAUCAAAUUAAAUUUAAAUAAAACUCUCCAUUCCACUAUUGGAACUUGUAAUAGCAGGCCAUUAAGAGCUGAUACAAUAUUGACAUUGAAAGACAUUGCCAUAUAUAAAAUCGCGUAUUCUUUAAACUAAAAGCUAUUAUUUAGCAUCUUAGGCUAUAUUGCCAUACAUGGCCUUAUAGUCUCGCCAGAGAUGAUUAACUGGUUUUGCCAGUAACAGAAAGAAGAACUCAUCGCUAUAAUCAGUCCUCAUCCACUGGUUAAGUUGACCCACAAACCCACUUUUGAGAGAAUCACAAUAAUCCAAAAAAUGAGCAGUAAUUUCAUAACCCUCAUUCCAUUUCUGUCCUUGCCCUGGUUUUCUCCAAUGACUGGCUGCAUAGUUUGCCUUCAGCCUCACAAAAUCUGCAAUACCUCCAGUUAAUCCACCAGGAGCCUUGCCAUUCCCCUUCCACUGCCAAACGUAGCAAACUUGAUGAAACAGCACCCCUGUGAUCUCUCUUUUCACAUCCCCACCACUAUACCCAUUAACAUAUCUUGCACUCACGUGAAUCUCGUUCUUCCUAGUGUAUGCAAUCCCGUCCAUGUCAUCCACGAAUAAGCUCACCUUCUGCACGCUUUUUCUGUCAGAAGGGUUGUUUUGCUGAAAGAUCUCCCAUAUGAAUUGGGUGGCCGAGUCAAGUGUUUGGUUUGCGUAUUCAGCUCCUAUUUUGUCACGGAAUCUCACACCACCGAGGGUUGUCAGUGCAUUGUUUAUUACUGUGAACGUAUAUCCCUGUCUUUCCCGUAUUGUAACAUCAAAGCUUAGUUUUGGACUCUCUAGGAUUUCAUCCCUGGGAAUUGUUUUGUAAUGUUCCACAGCAUAUUCCCAUUCUGCUACUGUUUUACCAAACAAGUUGGAACCUAUGGCUUCCAAAGCCCGUGGAAGGCCUGAAGCAUAAGCUACCACACGAUUCAAGACGUCCUCAUAACAUGGAUCAAUUUUUUCACUUUUGAAAGCAUUCCACGUAAGCAAUUGAAGAGCAGCAUUCUGAUUCAAAACCUUCACCUCAUAAGUUCUUUCAACGCCAUGAUAUUUUAGCAGAUGUUUGUCCCGAGUGGUAAUGAUGACUCUGCUACCGGGACCAAAGCAAUUAGGGCUUCCAACAAUAGCCUUUAAUUGCUCUUGCUCGUCAGCGUCGUCUAAAAUCAAGAGAACCUUCUUUUGUCGGAGCCUACGUUGUAUCAUUGAAGCUCCAUCUUGCCAACUUGUUAAGGUGAUGUCCUUCUCACCAAGUAAUUUUAAAAGAAGGAUGCUUUGGAGGUGUUUUAACCCAUGUUUAUUUGAUUCUUCUCUCACGUUUUGAAGAAAACAUGAUUCGUCAAAAUGGAGAGCAAUCAAAUUAUAAACAGCUAGAGCAAGGGUUGUUUUUCCUAACCCACGCAUCCCAUGUAUCCCUAUGAUGUGGACAACAUCAUCGGAUCCUACAUCCAAAAGCUUCCUUACCUCUAUCACUUGUGACUCUAAAUCAACUGGAUAAUCCGCAACAUGUAAAGAAGCAUGAUUGAUCUUCCUAGAGACCUCCUCCACAAUAUUCCCAAUAAACUUGUAUUCAUAUGAAUCUCUGUUUCAAACAAACAAAAAAAGUUCUAAUGAAGUCAACCCAAAAGCCUUGCAUCCAUGUCUUGGUAGGUAUAUUAAUUGUCAAGGUUAACAAGAGCAUUUCUUUUCUAUUUAAAUUUUACUGCUUAAAUCAAAGACAAGUAAAACCUAAUCCUAUAAAAACCAUAAAGUAAAAUAUAUUAGUAUGAUUGUAUACCCAUCUUUGAAAUGAUAGCCAGACAAGUCAGCUACUUGUUGCAAAGCCAUCCUCCAUUCCCGCAGCUUCUCCAUCUUAGAUUCGAACCUUUUCUGAUGCUUAGUCAUUGUUUCUCCAUAACUACCUUUUUGGUGUCUGACAUCAGAAGGAUCUACUUUGUAAAAGACCGGUAUAACCAACAGCCCUUCACUCUUGCAGUGAAGGAUGGUUACAAGUUCAUCUAAACAAAAUGAGGAAAAAGCAUAGUUUUCAGAAAGCACAGUAAUAGCAAUCCUGGACUCGUUAAUUGCGUUGGAGAGUGCAGGUGUUAUUUUGUCUCCUCUCGGAAGCUCCUGAUCAUCAAUGAAAGUGUAGAUUCCCCUGUCACCAAGAGCUUUGUAGAGGUUGCCAGUGAAACCAUUGCGUGUGUCUAAACCUCUGAAGCUGAGGAACACAUCGUAGAUGGAUGCAAGGGAACGUGUUGUCGCAGCCAUUAUCAGAAUAAAAAAAUUUUAGUAUGGUAAUGGUUGAUAUGAUAGGAGUGUAGAAUCAAACUUGAACAAAUAUGAAGAUGAAAGUAUACCAAAUGUUAUAAAAGUCAAGUCAAGCUCUUGUUAUCCAUCAAUAAAUUUAGUAUGGAAAUGGUUGAUAUGAUAGGAGUGUAGAAUCAAACUUGAACAAUUAUAAAGAUGAAAGUAUAGCAAAUGUUAUAAAAGUCAGUAAGCUCUUAUUAUCCAUCAAUAAAUUUAAUAAAUAUUUUAUAUUAAUGUCACGAUAAAGAAUAUCUUUAAUAUAAACUUAAUUCCUAAUUAACUACCUACAAGUUAUGAGACUAGUUGUAAAAAAAUUAUAUUUUAUAAUCAGAUCAUUUACAAACUAAGCAUUUUCUUUUGUAGAAGUAUAAAAUUAUUUUUAAUAUUUGCUAAUGUAUUUAAAAUAAUUAACUGGUGGUACUAAAUUUCAAUUUCUCCCCGUCCCCCAUUAAAAUUGUUAGACGUAAAAAAUUAGUAAAUUUCACAAAUUCUGUGAGCUGCGAUCAAUGUGCAAGAGCACAUUCUUUCAACUCCAAGUUCAAGGCUAUAUUCGGAAAUUUAGCUCUCAAAAAGGAAACCAAAUUCAAAAUUAUGAUUCAUUUAACUUUCCAUAGGAUGAGAACUAGAUGUUUGUUCCAAAGCAAAGGACGUUUAGAUAAAUAAAUCUAAGUUGGUGGAAAUUAAUUUAAAACUGAAUUACAAUUUUAGUUUUCAAACAAUAUUUUCAGAUCGAAUUCAAUUUUUACAUCCUAUUAAUAUAAAAAAAUUAUCCUACCAAUUCAUCAGAAAUAAAAGUAGACGUGACUUGUGAAGUGGUUAAUAUUUCAAUAAUUAAUUAUAUACAUAUUUAAUUAUUAUUAUUAUAAUUAAUUAUAGAAAUAAGUUUUGUAUCUAAAAUUGUUAAAUAAAAUACUACUUUAAAAUAAUUUAUUUUAUUUAAAUAGUUUUAAAAAUACUUUUAGUAUGAAAUUUUUUAUUAUAAAUAUAAAUUUAUUAGUUCCUGAUAACAAAAAACGGUUAUUAAUUCCUUUUUAAAAAACAUAAAGUUAUUAAUCACCUACUAUUGUGACCAUAAAAUUUCUGAUAACAAAUCACAUGUGCCCAUGCCAAGUUGCCAACUCCAAUCCAACCAUUGUUCUUUAGGUCAAAGUCCAAGAACAUGAGCUGAAUGGGUUACCAAUUUAAAAAUAACGCAUCCCCCCUCUGAAUGUGAGAUAUACCACUUGUUACUUUGGUCUCCUGGCGUCAUUGUCAAGAUGUUUUCAAACUCAACACUGAUUGAAGCUCCUUGGGGAAUCAGUCCUGAUCCUUUGGGUUAGGUUGACAUUUUCAGUGAUUUCUCUUGGGAAAUGGUUGGUUUGCUUUUCUGGUUUGUGUACAUGUUGCUAUGCAAACAUUGAUGCUUAACUCUUUGCCAUCUUUCAUGAUCUCAAUGUAGCUCCGAGCUCCGGUUAUUGUUAUUGGCAUUGGCAUUAAUUACAUACUUAUGACAUUCUUUAUCUCAACAUUAUUAUAAAUAAAUAAAACAUAAAAAUAUUGAUCAUCAAAUUUAUGCAGUUAAAAGAUUCACAUUUAUUUUAGUAUUAUCAAAUAAGACUUAUUAAAAAAUAAUCAUCUCAAAAUAAGGCCGUCAAAAUUUACAAAAAAUAUUUUUUUAAAUUAAUGAGGUAAAAUAAUCGCCUACAUGCAAUGUGGUGUCAUGUAAGUAAAAAACCACUCUGAGACAUUUAGGAAUACAUAACAAGACACACCACACAAUGAGUAUGUUAGGUCACUAUCACUAAGUAAAAUCAUAAGGUGACCAGCCAGUGUUACUCUGUUUUGCGAGAAUAUUCCAACCAUAUGAGAUCAAUUUAAACUUAAAGAAGUACUCAAAUCGAAUGGUUUUACCCUCAAGGUCUAGACUCCCAAGAAUCCGUUAGGGUCUCACCUUCCUAAUUCAGGUCCAACCCUUCAAACAAUUUUUGCAAGCAGAUACUGCUCAUGAAUUAUAUAAUACCCAUGAACUCACACUUGUGUUUUAAACACGUUUAACAUAUUGCGCUACAAUUUAACACUAAUUCCUAACUAGAAAACCUACUUUCUCCCUUUAACAUUGUGCAUCAAUAUUUUUCUCAAGAUAAACACUGGUCGGGUAAUUGUAUAAUUCACAACUCAAAACACAAGUAAUGUCACAUCAAGUGUUAACCACACACUUAUGCACAACUAACACAACUAAAACUUAUGUUUACAACUUCACAUCUCAUUAUGUCACAAUCAACCAUCUCAUGUUUAUAUGUAUCUCGCAAUUUAACACAUUCAACUUUACACUUAUACUCAAUCCCCAUAACAAUAUAAUAAUUUCAAAGUAAUAUAUUAUUCUACAACUCAUCAUAUACUCAAUUUAUCAAUUAUAUACAAUUUUAAUUACAAUUUCAUAAUUUUGAUAUAACUAUUUGGUACACUAAUCUUAUUCAAAAAACAAAUAAAUUAUACAAAAAUAUUUCUCAAUUCACGGGGAGUAAAUUAUACAAAUAAAUUAUACAAAAAUAUUUAAAAAAACUAUAUUUAUUUUAUUUUAUAAAUAAGUACAAAAAUGUCACAAUAUUUUUCUCUAUUUUUAAAUAUUUAUGAAAAUGAAAAGUAAGAUAUAAUAUGUAAAGCAUAUAUUGCUAUUUUGGACUUUUUUUGGGGGGAUGUUGUUACCAUGACUAUCCACUUUCUCCCUCGAAAGACAAGGCAUCCAAUUUUAAUAUGAUACAUUAAGGGAUGUUUGGUAGAAGAAAAAUACUUUCUGUUAUGGUUCGCGUCAGGGAUGGGGUAGAGGAAGGAGAUGAAAACGCAGAAUGUUCACAAGCCCUUAUUCGAGAAAGGGGAAAACUCCUUUAUUUCUUGAAGGAUAAUGUUCUUACAUUCUACGAUUAUACAUGUUCAGUAUUUAAAGUGAUUCUACGUAACUGCCUAACAAAUUCAGUUACGUCUAACGGUAUCGGGUUCGAGUAGAAUACGUGGUCCAAGCUUUCGAAAAUUAAGCACGUGUGGUGUAAGCUUGCCCUAACUACCCCUGGUUAUGUUUGGGCCUUUAUGGAGAGCCAUGCAGGUUGGCAACGUGAUAAUCCUUCAGGUGAAAUGGUGCGGACCUGACUCGUGCUGGUCUGAGUCGUGACUGGGCCGAGUCACUAACAAUACCUCCUCCUUCCAAGUCCACCUUGUCCUCAAGGUGGUAAAGCUCGCGUAGGGAGGACCAUGGUUCCCACGAUGUGUCCUCUGGUGGUUCGCCUACCCACUGGGUGAGGACCAGUUGUGUGGGGGGGGGGGGGGUCCGUAGAGUCAUCGAGUUUUGUAUCUAGGAAGCAUAGUGGUCGUCGUAACGGUUCCUUAGAGAGAGUUCCGAGGGUCCAAGUGUCUGUGAGAGGGGGCUGGGGUCCAUGGUGAGCUCGGAGGAGCGAAGAGUGAAAAUCGGGGUGGAUCUGAGAAUGGGGUGGAAGACGCAGGCGGUAAGCCACAGAACCAAUGCGUUCUUCAAUCUGGAAGGGCCCAAAGAAUCGUUUGGAGAGCUUGGGGUGGUGGUGACCGGAAAUGGAGGUUUGACGGCCAGGGCGUAGCCGCACGUAGACCCAUUGUCCGACGGAAAAUGAAACAUCAUCACGCUUAGCAUCAGCAUAGUGUUUCAUUGUAAGUUGGGCCUUUUGUAAUUUCUUCUGAAGCCGGGAGUGUAGAGCUUGUCGUGACUCGAGCAAGGUCUGAGCAGCUUCAUUGUUGGUUGUAUUAGGAAGGUAGUCAUGUGCAACUGGUGGUGGUUUUCCAUAAAUGAUCUCGAACGGUGUUGAGCCUAUGCUGGAGUGCAGAGACGUGUUAUAACACCACUCUGCAAGGGCCAAGUAAUUGAACCAGGCCGUGGUUUGGGAGUGGACAAAGCAUCAGAGGUAUUGCUCGAGAACUCUAUUCAUUACUUCCGUCUGCACGUCCGAUUGGGGGUGAUAGGCCGUGCUGAGACGCAAUUGAGUGCCGGAAAGUCUAAACAGUUCACGCCAAAAGUUGCUUAAGAAAAUUGGAUCGCGAUCGGACACGAUGCUCUUUGGGAAGCCAUGUAAUUUACAGACAAUUUGCAGGACGAGGUUAGCUACUUUGAAGGCAGUGAAACUAGUUGGUAAAGCACCUAAGUGUACCCCUUUAGAGUAUCUAUCUACGACAACAAAUAUGACUGUGAAGCCAUUAGAGGGAGGAAGGUGUGUAAUGAAAUCCAUAGACAGGUCUUCCCAGACCCCCGUAGGUAAUGGCAGUGGCUGCAGAAGGCCUGUCGGGCGCUUGGAGGAGUUCUUAUUUUGUUGGCACACUGAGCACUCCUUGAUGAAGCGACGAACAUCGUGCUUGAGGUUGGUCCAGAAGAAAUUGGAUUGGACUCGAUGGGUUGUCUUCGCAACUCCGAGGUGGCCACCUAACGGGGUUGUGUGGUACUCUGAUAGUAGACUGGGAAUGCAGGGAUUGUUGCUAUUUAACCAUAUUCGACCCUGGAACAAUACGAGAUUGUUGCAGAGGGUAUAGCCAGGGUGGUUUGCUGGGUUGGACUGUAUCGAAUGCAUGAGUUGCUGAAAUUCCGGGAGGGACUCCAAUGACUUUCGAAUGUCAUUGAGGAAGUCCAGCUGGGGAACUGAGAGGAUUAAGAGCUGGCCGGUGGAUGAGGGGGGUCGAGAAAGAGCGUCGGCAACCACGUUGGAAGAUCCAGCUUUAUAUUGUAUGGAGUAAUCAUAACCUAAUAAUUUGGAGAGAUAAUAAUGCUGCUCCGGGGUUUGUAUUAUUUGCGUCAUGAGCUCGCGAAUGCUUUUGUGGUCCGUGAGGAUCGUGAAUGGGCGUCCUAAGAGAUAUUGUCGCCAUUUUCUAACAGCUGCGACAAUGGCAUGGAGUUCACGAAUGUAUGUUGAAGCUUGGGUCAAACAAGGGGUGAGACUCUUGCUGAAAUAUGCCAAAGGAUGUCCACUCUGUGUGAGGACUGCUCCGAUAGCGGUUGCUGAUGCAUCAGUUUCAAUCACGAAGGGAGUGGAGAAGUUGGGUAGGGCUAACACGGGGGCGUUUGUCAUGGCGAAUUUGAGCUGGGAAAAGGCCUCCUGAGAUUCUGAGGUCCAGGUGAAUGCAUCCUUGCAGAGUAAGCUCGUGAGGGGAGCUGCGAUGGUGGCGUACCCCUUUAUAAACUUUCUGUAGAAUCCGGUGAGGCCUAAAAAUGCUCGGAGUUCCUUGGCGGUCCUCGGGUUUGGCCAUUGCACCAUAGCUUGGAUCUUCGAAGGUUCUGGAGUAACUCCCUUGCCGGAAACAACAUGCCCGAGGUAUUCAAUGGUCUCUUGGGCAAACGAGCACUUGGAUUGCUUGAGAUAGAACUCACCAUGCUGUAGAGUUUCGAAGAUAGUUUCCAGAUGUUGAAGGUGAGAUGACAGCGAGCUGCUAUAAACUAGAAUGUCAUCGAAGAACACUGUUACAAAUCUGCGUAAAAAUGGUUGCAACAGGUUGUUCAUGGCCGAUUGAAAGGUGGAUGGGGCAUUGCUGAGCUCGAAGGGCAUAACCAGAUAUUCGAAAUGGCCAUUAUGCGUCCGAAACGCUGUUUUCUCCACAUCUUCUUCGUGCAUCAGGAUUUGGUGAAAUCCUUGCCGGAGAUCGAGCUUGGAGAACUAGGUGGCCUGUCCUAGCUUGUCGAGGAGCUCGUCGAUCGUUGGUAUAGGAAAACGAUCUCGAAUGGUAACUGUGUUGAGCGCCCUGUAGUCCACACACAGUCUCCAUGUGCCGUCUUUCUUCUUAACGAGGAGGACCGGCGAGGAGUAGGGACUGAGACUGGGGCGAAUGAGGCCGGCGGAAAGCAACUCAGAAACUUGUUUCUCAAUUUCAUUCUUUUGGAAGUGUGGGUACCUGUAAGGCCUCACGUUUAUCGGGGCUGUGGAAGGGGCUAAUGUAAUUCGGUGAACCACUUGUCGUGGUGGGGGUAGUCUGGAUGGGGACUGAAAUAGGUGGUUAUAACGGAGAAGAAGGUGCUGGAUGGAGGGAAGAGGGUGUUGGGCCGGGGCGGUUUCGGUUCGGGUAACGGGCUGAACACUCAGUUGGUAAAAGGCCGAGGUGGAGCCGGUUUGAAGGAACUGUUUCAGUUGGGUUGCGGAAACGGGUUCAGGCCCACAUGUAGCGUCUGCUGCUAAAGACACCUCCUGACCCUGGUGUGUAAAGUUCAUGAUACCAGAUGUGUAGUCUGUCGUUAUCGGGCCCAACUUCUUCAGCCAGUCGAUGCCUAGGACCGCAUCAGCUCCAUUGAUUUGCAGGAGGUGGAAUGAUACGAGGAAUUGGUGGCCUUGGACGGUGACUAAUGUCUCUGAGCAAACCUGGUUACAAUCUAAGGUGGAACCGUUGCCCACUAAGACUUGGAGGGACCGAGUUGCUUGGACUGGUAGCUUCAGGAAUUGAGCGAUGCGCGGUUGAAGGAAGUUAUGCGUACUUCUGCUAUCAAUCAAAAUGGUUAACUGCGUGUUCUUGAUGGUGCCAUAGAGCCGAAAGGUGUCUGUGGAUGGUAAUCCUGACAACGCAUGAAGGCUGAUAUGUGAACAAGUCGAAUCUGGUGAGGGCUCGGGUUUGUCAUCAAUGGCAGAAGGUGGUGUCUGUUCGAGCUCGAGUAUGCUUUCUUCAGUGGUGGAGGUUUGUUCAUCAGCAAUGAGGAGCAUGACGCGUCCUUUACAACGAUGAUUAGUGCUCCACUUCUCGUCACAAUUGUAACAUAGUCCUCUUUCUCGUCGGAAAGCGAUCUCGGCCGGAGUUCGUUGCACAAAUGGAGGUUUUGCUUUAAUGGUGGGAUUGGGAUUGAAGGGCGGCGAGGGUUUAGGUGGAAAUGGAUUGCGUGGGGCCAAUACCGCUUUAUCUCGAAGCUUCUAUUCUUGAAGCUUGGCAAGGGCAGUAGCUUGCAGGAGCGAAAUAGGUUGAAGGGCCAUUACCUCACGGCGAACCUCUGGGCAUAAUCCUAAAAUGAAACAGCUUAAAAGAAAUGGGGGAGGAAGGCCUACCACUCGGUUUGCAAGACGUUCGAAUUCCGUUAGGUAGUCAUUAACUGUUCCCUUCUGCGUUAACUUGAAUAGUGCCCCCUUGGGGUCCUCGUAAAACGUUGGUGCGAAGCGCGACUCAAGGGCUUCGAGGAAGCUUUCCCAGGAGGUGAUCAGUCCAUUGCUGAACAUCCACUGAUACCAACUCAGUGCUGUUCCGUCGAGAUACAGGGAGGCGACUGUGACUCGCUCUUCUUCAGGCGUGUUGUGGUAUUGAAAAAGUUGCGUAAGCUUGAAAAUCCAGCCUAAGGGGUCACGGCCAUCGAAACGAGGGAUGUCUAUUUUAACUGAGUUUCGUGGAUGAUUUUGAUGAUUUGCGGUGUUGGUGGCGUUCCGGCCGGAGUCGUGGAGGCGAAGGUGGUCGAGGAUGGCAUCAACUUUGCCGGAAAGGUCUGUGUAUCGGUCUGUAAGUGAGGCCUGGCUAUUGUUAAGACGGGUAAUUGCCUCUUCAAGGCAGUCAGUGGUGGUUUUUCUGGUUCCGUGAUCGGCCAUGGCAAUGGCGGCGCCGGCAGGUCAGACCAGUUGUUAUGGUUCGCGUCAGGGAUGGGGUAGAGGAAGGAGAUGAAAGCGCAGAAUGUUCACAAGCCCUUAUUCGAGAAAGGGGAAAACUCCUUUAUUUCUUGAAGGAUAAUGUUCUUACAUCCUACGAUUAUACAUGUUCAGUAUUUAAAGUGAUUCUACGUAACUGCCUAACAAAUUCAGUUACGUCUAACGGUAUCGGGUUCGAGUAGAACACGUGGUCCAAGCUUUCGAAAAUUAAGCACGUGUGGUGUAAGCUUGCCCUAACUACCCCUGGUUAUGUUUGGGCCUUUAUGGAGAGCCAUGCAGGUUGGCAACGUGAUAAUCCUUCAGGUGAAAUGGUGCGGACCUGACUCGUGCUGGUCUGAGUCGUGACUGGGCCGAGUCACUAACACUUUCCGAUCAUGAAUUUUGGGACUCAUAUUUUGUCACGGAAAGCCACGCCGCCAGGAGUUGAGAGUGCGUUGUUAGUGACAGUGUAUUCAACUGCAUGCAUGUGUUGCAUGUACUGCAGAUAGGAAUACUAAGAAACAAAGUGCAUAGGAUUGGGUCCAUUCGGUGCUUGCUUUAUGUAGAAAACGUAUAAGAUCCUUCCUUUCAAGUUUCCACGACUGCCAUUAAUGUUUGUAAACAUUGAAUGCUUGGUUGUUCCGGUUGGUACGUAACUCAAUUUUGAAUUUUCAGAAAACUGGGGUGUCUAUGGUCAAGUCUUUUUCUAGAAAUGACAAACAGGCAAAGGGUGGGGUCAAUCUUAUUAGGCUCAAGUUUAACUUUAAUAGAACUAUUAUGAAUAAUAUUUUUUUUGAAAGUAUUUAAUGUAAUUAUAUUUAAAAUUAGAAUAUAAUUAAAACUUCAUAAGCUGGAACAAUUAUAAAAUAAAUUUUUAGUACCUAGAAGUUUAUUACUCGAAAAUUUAAAAUUUUAGAAUGUAAAAGUUAAAAUUUUAACCUUGUUUUUAUCAUAAAUAAUACCAGAAUAAGAUUAAAAAAACAAGAUUAAAAAGUAAACGAAUUUCUAAGGAUGCAAAAUGUGAUUUUGGGAUGCAUGAACUGGAUUCGAAAGUGACUCUUUAGUCAAAAGUUUUGGGCUAUCUAAUACAUAAAUUAUAAUAAAAAAAUAAUAACACUCUAUUAUAUGUUAUCUAAAGAAGUUUAAUUACUAUUUUUUAGCUUCAAUGUAAUCUUCUUAUUUUUAAAAGGCGUAAUUUAGUUUUUUAAUUUAUUUAUUGAGUUUAAUUUAGUCUAUUUAUUUUUAAAGGUUUCAAUUAAUUACUUUAUUUUUAAAAAAGUAGAUUCACUUCUGAUCCCAUUUAAAAUUAAGACUGGUUUCAUUUUUUGGAAAUGCUGGAAGCUGGCGGAAAGAAAAAGGAACCAAAUUAAACGUGUUUUUAAAAAAAUAAAGGAUAUGAAUAAACUUUUAUAAAAAAAUAGAGGAAUCAACUUAAAUUUAAAUAAAACUCUCCACUCCACCAUUGGAACUUGUAAUAGCAGGCCAUUAAGAGCUGAUACAAUAUUGAUAUUGAAAGACAUUACUGCGAUAUAUAUAAUCUCGUAUUCUUUAAACUAAAAGCUAUUAAUUAGCAUCUUAGGCUAGAUUGCCAUACUGGGCCUUAUAGUCUCGCCAGAGCUGAUCAACUGGCUUUCCCAGUAACUGAACGAAGAACUGAUCACUAUAACCAGUCCUCAUCAACUGGUUAAGUUGAGCCACAAACCCACUUUUGAGAGAAUCACAAUAAUCCAAAAAAUGAGCAGUAAUAUCAUAACCCUCAUCCCAUCUCUGUCCUUGCCCUGGUUUUCUCCAAUGACUGGCUGCAUAGUUUGCCUUCAGCCUCACAAAAUCUGCAAUACCUCCAAUUAAUCCACCAGGAGCCUCACCAUUCCCAUACCACUGCCAAACGUAGCAAACUUGAUGAAACAGCACCCCUGUGAUCUCUCUUUUCACAUCCCCACCACUAUACCCAUUAACAUAUCUUGCACUCACGUGAAUCUCGUUGUUCAUAGUGUAUGCAAUACCCUCCAUGUCAUCCACGACUAAGCUCACCUUCUGCACAUUUUUUCUGUCAGAAGGGUUUUUUUGCUGAAAGAUCCUCCAUACGAAUUGGGUGGCCAACUCAAGUGUUCGGUUUGCGUAUUCAGCUCCUAUUUUGUCACGGAAUCUCACACCACCGGGGGUUGUCAGUGCAUUGUUUAUUACUGUGAACUUAUAUCCCUGUGUUUCCUGCUUUGUAGCAUCAAAGCUUACUUUUAGAAUAUCUACGAUUUCAUCAAUGGGAAUUCUGCUAUAAUGUUCCACAGCAUAUUCCCAUUCUGCUACUGUUUUUUCAAACAAGUGGGAACCUAUGACUUCCAAAGCCAGUGGAAGGCCAGAAGCAUAAGCUACCACACGAUUCAAGACGUGCUCAUAACUUGGAUCAAUUUUUUCUCUUCUGAAAGCAUUCCAAGUAAGCAAUUGAAGAGCAGCAUUGUCAUUCAAAACCUUCACCUCAUAAGUUCUUUCAAUGCCAUGAUAUUUUAGCAGAUGUUUGUCCCGAGUGGUAAUGAUGACUCUGCUACCGGGACCAAACCAAUCAGGUCUUCCAACAAUAGCCUUUAAUUGCUCGUGCCUGUCUGCAUCGUCUAAAAUCAAGAGAACCUUCUUUCUUCGGAGCCUAUGUUGAAUCAUUGAAGCUCCUUCUUGCCAACUUGUUAAGUUGAUGUCCUUCUCACCAAGUAAUUUUAAAAGAAGGAUGCUUUGAAGGUGUUUUAACCCAUGUUUAUUUGAUUCUUCUCUCACAUUUUGAAGAAAACAUGAUUCGUCAAAAUGGAGAGCAAUCAAAUUAUAAACAGCUAGAGAAAGGGUUGUUUUUCCUAACCCACGCAUCCCAUGGAUCCCUAUGAUAUGGACAACAUCAUCUGAUCCAACAUCCAAAAGCUUCAUUAAGUCUGUCACUUGUGACUCUAGACCAACUGGAUAAUCCAGAACAUGUAAAGAAGCUCGAUUAAUCUUCCUAGAGACCUCCUCAACAAUGCUCCCAAUAAACUUGUAUUCAUAUGCAUCUCUGUUUCAAACAAACAAAAAAAGUUCUAAUGAAGUCAACCUAAAAGCCUUGCAUCCAUGUCUUGCUAGGUACAUUAAUUGUAAAGGUUAACAAGAGCAUUUCUUUUCUAUUUAAAUUUUACUGGUAAAAUCAAAGACAAGUAAAACCUAAUCCUAUAAAAACCAUAAAGUAAAUUAUAUUAGUAUGAUUGUAUACCCAUCUUUGAAAUGAUGGCCAGACAAGUCAGCUACUUGUUUCAAAGCCAUCCUCCAUUUCUGCAGCUUCUCCAUCUUAGAUUCGAACCUUUUCUGAUGCUUAAUCAUUGCUUCUCCAUAACUACCUUUCUGGUGUCUGAGAUCAGAAGGAUCUACGUUGUAAAAGACCGGUAUAACCAACAGCCCUUCACUCUUGCAGUGAAGGAUGGUUACAAGUUCAUCUAAACAAAAUGAGGAAAAAGCAUAGUUUUGAGAAAGCACAGUAAUAGCAAUCCUGGACUCUUGAAUUGCCUUCGAAAGUGCAGGUGUUAUUUCAUCUCCACCGUGAAGCUUCUCUUCAUCAAAGAAGGUAUGAAUUCCCUUCUCACAGAGAGCCCUGUAUAGAUUGCCAGUGAAACCAUAGCGUGUGUCUUCCCCUCUGAAGCUGAGGAACACAUCAUAGAUGAAUGGAAGGGAACGUGUUGUUGCAGCCAUUAUUAGAAGAAAGAAGUUUAGUAUGAUAAUGGUUGAUAUGGUGGGAGUGUAGAAUCAAACUUGAACAAAUAUGAGAAAGAUAUAUACCAAAUGUUAUAAAAGUCAAGUACGUCAAGCUCUUAUUAAUUGUCUGUUAUAAAAUUCAAUUCAAGCUCUUAUUCUAUGUUAUAAAAGUCAAGUUAAGAUCUUAUAAAGAAAGAUGCUCUCACUUUUUUUCAUUUUAAAUACUACUUUUCAUAAUCAAAUUAUCACAAAUAAACACUAAAAGCAUUUUUAAUAAUUGGUACUGUAUUUCAAAUAAUUAACUGGUGGUACUACUUAUUCUCCCUCCCCAAAAAUAAUUGUUAAUUAGAGAAUGAAAAUAUAUAUUAAAUAAUAAGUAAUCUGAUAAUUUUUAAUCACAGGAGCUUCAAAAUUUGUCUUUUUAUGUAUAUAAAUUUCUCAUUGAAAGAGUUUUAUAAUUACCUUGAUAAUUUUACUGAAAUUAAAACACCCACACAUAAGAUGUUUUACUUUAAGUCAGAUGUAUUUGUUCGAAAAGUAAUAGAAGUUAAUUUUGUAUAAUAAAAAAUGUUAACCAAUAAUUUAGGACAUUGAUUAAAAAAUAAAAAUAAAAAUUUUGAAAAAUCUCACAUAUGAUAUACUUUCUUUUUGUAAUUUUUAAUGCAACUUAUUAAUUUGAUAACGCAACUUCAAUUUUGGUGGGUCAAAUAUGAUUUUACAUAUUUGAAUUUUAUCUAUACUUCUCAAUUUAUAAUCAAUUUUUUAAUUAAAUUUAAAGGCUGAUACACUGAAUAAGUGAUUUGGCACAGUAAAAUGAGGAAGAAGCAUAGUUUUGAGAAAGCACAGUAAUAGCAAUCCUGGACUCUCGAAUUUCCUUCAAAAGUGCAGGUGUUAUUUAUUUCGUCUACUCUCAGAAGCUCCUGAUACAGUGUAGAUUUCCCUGUCAUCAAGAGCUUUGUGGAGAUUGCCAGUGAAACCAUAGCGUGUGUCUAAACCUCUAAAGCUGAGGAACACAUCAUAGAUGGAUGCAAGGGAACGUUUCGUUGCAGCCAUUAUUAGAAGAAACAAGUUUAGUAUGAUAAUGGUUAAUUGAUAUGGUAGGAAUGUAGAAUCAAACUUGAACAAAUAUGAAAAAGAUAGUAUAGAAAAUGUAAAGUGGGGCAAACCAAGCAUUAUUUGACGCGGUCAUACAAAUGUUUAUUAUUAGGCAGAGUAACAAUGACAUAUGGGGCCAAACAAUAACUAGUAACGCGGACACAUCGUACCAAAGUCGAUAGCCUUGUGCAAAAUAUGUGGCUUUUUUUCUUUUGUUUUCUCUCUCUGUCAAAUAAGUCAAAAUCUUAUGUUGUUUAAUUUUAUUAAGGUCUCAGGUUUUGCUGGAUGAUGAGAAGAGGAUGGUUAAAAUUAAAGAUAAGAUUUCUAUAUUAAUUAUUAAUAAAUUUAAUUAAUAUUUCAUAUUAAUGUCAUCAGUAAAGAAUAUCUUUACUAUAUCUUCUACCUACAAGCUAUGAGACAAGUAGUAAAAAAAUUACAUUUUAUAAUUAAAUCAUUACAAUCUAAGUAUUUUUUUUGUAGAAGUAUAAAAUUAUUUUUAGUAUUUGCUACUGCAUGUAUUUAAAAUAAUUAACUGGUGGUACUAAAUUGUAAUUUCUCCCCGUCCCCCAUUAAAAUUGUUAGACGUAAAAAGUUAGUCGAUUUCACAAAUUCUGUGAUCUGAGAUUAAUGAGCAAGAGCACAUUCUUUCAACUCCAAGUUGAAGGCUAUAUUCGGAAAUUUAGCUCUGAAAAAGGAAAAAAGGAAACCAAAUUCAAAAAUUAUGAUUCAUUUAACUUUCCAUAGGAUGAGAAUUAGAUGUUUGUUCCAAAGCCAAGAACAUGAGCUGAAUGGGUUGCCAAUAAAAAAAUAACGCAUUCCCCCUCUGAAUGUGAGAUAUGGCAUUCAAAGACUAGUUACUUUGGUCUCCUGGCCUCCUUGUCAAGAUAAGAUGUUUUCAAACUCAACACUAAUAGAAGCUCCUAUGGGAAUCCGUCCUGAUCCUUCGGGGUAGGGUGACAUUCACUACUAUAAAAUGAUGAUUCAACAUCGCCUCAGCUACAUGGGUUCGCCUCAUCUACAUCGGUUGUCGAAAAACCGUUGUAGUAAAACAUACGGUGACAUUUUUAAAAUUAAAACUAACUAUGUUAAGGUGUUAAUGGCGGUUUUUUAUAAAAUCGCCUUUUAUGUGUAUGUUACAAAGACAGUUUUAUAAAAACCGUCUUUGUUCAUAAAUACACUAUUAUGGUUUUUUAAUCACCCAUCUUUGAAGUCACGUGAUUUUAAUUUCAAUUCUAUUUUCACUUUCGAAGCUGAAGACUACGCCAUUUUCUGGUGACAUACGCAUUUUCUGGUCACCGAAUUCAACAAUGUCAUCGACGCACUGCCGCCGGGGACGACCAACGACCUGCACGAGAUCACGAAGCGAAUGGUGGCAGGAGGCUUCGGGAAGGAGUGCUCGCACGUGUACAGAAGUUGCCAGAGAGAGUUCUUGGAAGAAAGUGUGUCGAGAUUAGGGUUACAGAAGCUCAGCAUUGAGGAGGUUCAUAAGAUGACAUGGCAGGACCUCGAAGAGAAGAUUAAGAAAUGGAUUAAGGCCUCCAACAUCGCUCUCAAGAUCUUCUUCCCCAGCGAGCGCCGUUUCUGUGACCGUGUCUUCUUCGGAUUCGCCUCCGCCUCAGACUUCUCCUUCAAGGAGUUUUGUCGCUGGAAAGGCUGUUCCGAAUCCUCGACGUGUUUGAGACGCUGCGUGACCUAUUUCUGGAGUUUGAGGCUCUGUUUUCUGAUCAGUUUAGUGUGUCGCUCAGGAAUGAAGCGAUUACGAUUUGGAAGAGGUUGGGGGAAGAGAUUAGGAGAAUUUUUAUGGAGCUGGAGAAUUUGAUUCCCGGGAUCCGGCAAAGAUUGCAGUUCCUGGUAGCGGACUUCAUCCGAUCACUCGCUAUGUGAUAAACUACCUCCGUGCCACAUGUCAGUCACGGCAGAGCUUGGAACAGUUUUUUGAAGACUAUGGCAGGAAAUAGUACCCAAAGCUUGAUGAUAGGGUUCCUUCCUCUUCUUCUCUGUCAGUGCACUAUCAAAGAAGCUCCUGGAAUAAGGUAUUAGGGAUUCUGAAGUUCGAUAGUAAUGGGUCAAUGCCCCCUAUUAGCUUGGCAAAGUCAACGAAGGAGAAACUCAAGUCGUUUAACACGGUUUUUGAGGAGAUAUGCAGGGAACAGUCUUCAUGGUUUGUCUUUGAUGAGCAGCUUAGGGAAGAAAUAAGAAUUUCGCUUGAGAAAAUCUUGCUUCCUGCGUAUGGAAACUUUGUUGCAAGGUUUUAGAGUGUUUCAGAGCUUGGAAAGCAUGCUGAUAAGUAUAUAUAUUGAGUACGGAACGGAGGAAAUUCAAGCAAGACUCAAUGGUUUGUUUCAGUGAAGCAGUGGAUCAACUGGUAGCCGAAAGUGAAGGUGAAGCUGCUACUAGUUGUUCUUGUGUAUUUGUAGUGUAAUUAAAUUAAAAUACAAUGUUUUGAUUAUCACAAAAUUGUAGUCUUGUAGUCGUGUACUAUAAAUACUACUGUAUGUUAUUCUUCUUAGCAUCAUUGUGGAGGAUUGAAAAAGGAUUUUAAAGUAAGAGCUAGAGUUACAAAAUUAACCUUUAUGUUGUAACAUUUGAGGUGGUUCUUAUUGGUUUGUAUUUCAUAGAAUACAUUAGAAUAUAUGAUAAGAUAUUCUAUGAAAUACAUACAAUUCUAUCAUGACUCAUGUGUUUGAAACUUAAUAAUGGCUACCAACAUUGGAUUUUCAUAUGGUGGUGUAAACUAAGCCGAUCAUUCCAAUAUUUGUUUAUCAGUUCAAUUAAAAAAAAUAAAUUACAUUUUAAUUUCUUAUAAUUUGACUUAAAAUACUUUAUUCUGUGUUACCUGAACCAUAUAGAAUUUGAUAUUUUAUCAUCUUAUGUUUUGUUUUAAUUUAUUAUCACAUUGAUAAUUUAGUACAUUUUAUCUAUUUUCUAAAGAUUAAUAUAUUUUACUCUCUCCAUUUUCAGUUCAAAAAAUAGUAUAUAUGUAAAAAGAAAAAAAAAACAAGUUGAGCCACUAAUAAUGGAGAUUAAUGUAAAAUAUAUUUGCUUUAAAUUGUUGUUUUAAGUUGAGCAAAUAUUUUUAAGAAAUACUAGUAAUUUUUUAAACAGAAACUGUAACAUAAAUGGCCUAAAUAUACUCUUUGACCAUUAGGCUUGAAAUGGUAGCAGUUACUAAGAUGCGUUUUGUUUUAUUAGUAAUAUUGGUGUUGGAAUUGAAGAAAUAAAGAUAUUUUUUAGAUGCAAGAAGGAGGAAACUGAAAACAAAGCAAGUAGUACUACUGUGGUGUGGUGUGGUGUUAUUUUGUUUCGUUGUCUGCUAAUAAUUGUAAGCAUCAGUAAUGGGCAGUGGGUGGCAGCACAUGGCCACCGUGCUCCACCAAUCACCAAUCCAACUUCGCUUUCUUAAAUCAUAUCGACAUAAGGACAAUUUCGUAAUAUUUUUAUUGUGGAAAGUGAAAACUAUGAAUCUAGAUUAUAUAACUAUAAAUAAAUGUUUUAAGAUUAAAAGUUAGUCCGUGGUUAUAUACAUGACCACUUAAUAAAGCUUCAUCAAGUGCUUUUUUUAAAAUAAAAUAAAAAUAACCAUUCAAAUAUAAUUUAAUAGUGUAGGUUCAAAAUAUUCUGCGUGAUUUCUAUUUGGAAAUGGUUGGUUGUCUUUUCUGGUAUGUGUGGCUAUACAAACAUUCUUGCUGAACUGUUUGUCAUCUUUCAUGAUUUCAAUGUACCUUGGAACUCUACUUAUUGGCAUCAUAAAAUUGUAGCAUACAUUAAUGUUUCAAGAAAGAUAGAGUCUAAUUUCAACAGUUUUUGAAUAAAUUUACACCAAUUAAUUUUGAAACAUGAAGAAUACUAAACUAAAACUGAGAGAAUAAUUAUGGGUUGAAGUUUGAACAAAUGAAAUGGGCGGCUGAGAUCAUUCACAUCAAUGCAUGUGAUAAAAGUAAAAUACAACAAACAUUAAUUGGAAGACUUAUUAAUUUGUUGGUUUAAAUUUUCAUAGUCUUAACAAAUUCCUCAUAGCUAAUUUGACCAUCACCAUCCAAAUCUGCAGUUGCAAUCAUCUCCUCCACCUCUCCAGCAGUUGUGUUUUCACCCAGUUUGAUCAGAACUUGCCUCAACUGCAUAGCACGGAAUGAUUUUAACAUAUGAGGGCAUGUGUAUGUCUUUGAGCAUAUAUGCAGUUCUUAGUUAAUACUAAUAAAUUCUAUAUGAAAAAAGGAAGUUAACACUGAUAAAUUAAAAAUGAUCAAGUGAAAACUGAAAAACAAGAUUUUCUUCCUGAUCUUAUUUUAAAAUGUCAAAACCCAAGACAUUUUUUUUAAAACCAAACAGGCAAACAACUAUUAUUCAGAGUAUGCGGAAAGGUUCAAAGUACCAUCCUGAAUGUGCAAGUGACAUUAAUGUUCCUUUUUCUUUUCUUUUUUGGCCUUUUUCUCAGUGACAUAUAUAAAUAUAUAUGUACAUGAUAUCCUAGCCUCUCACCAUACAAUUUCAUUCCAUUUUUAAUAUACAAUUAUGGAAAAGGUUGAAUUAUUAAAAAUAAUACACGGGUAAUUUUAUAUAUUUUUAUUAUUUUUUGUUUUAAAAUUAUUGAUUUUCCUAUUUUAAAUUAUUAAUAUUCUGUAAAUUUCUAGCUUUUUUUCAUUAUUCUUUAUUUAAAAUAUCUAGAUUUGAUCUUUACAAAGAAUACUACACUUCUAGCCUCUUUAAAAAGCGCUUCAACAAUAUCAUAUAUUAAAUAAGGUUACUUUAAUCUAAAUGUAUGAAUAUUAUAUACUUAUUAAAUACUUUUUAAUCUAUUUAUACUAACCUUAAACAUCAAUAAUUUUAGAAGGGCUGUAGCAAUUUAUAAAAUAAAUUUGUGUGUGUGUAAAAAAUAUUAAAAGAACAAUCAAAGGGAAGAUGCACUUUGCAACAUCUUGACACUACUUGCUUUUUGUUCAAGUUUGAAGUAACCUUACUUCGUCAGAAAUCUCAUGAAUACUUUGAUGGGCGAUUGCCGUCAGAAAAAGCAAGUUAAAAUAAAAAAAUGAAUAGAAAGAAUAAAAGUUUAUACAUAUACCUCACUUGCUGAAAUGUAGCCAUUUUGAUCCUUGUCAAACACCUUGAAAGCCUCUCUGUAUUCUUGCUCUUGAUGAGUUCCCUAACCGAGACAGAAAACAGAACUGAACUUAGUAUAUGGCUGUUCUAUAUAUAAUAGUAAUAAUGAGAAGAAUAUUAAUCUUAGCAAAAAAUGCAAUAUUAAUUCCUUACUUGCACUUUGGACUCUUGUUCAACAGGCAGAUCGGCAACAUGUACUCUAGCAGGAUUAAUCUUCUCAGAGACCGACGCAACAAUUCUCUCAAUAAACUUGUACUCAUAUUCAUCUCUGUUAUUAAUAUUUGAACAUUAAAUUGUGAGACAAGUAAAACUUAAUUAAUCCAAUAAAAAUUAAAACAUAAAAAGAUUGGUAUCAUUGGGUACCUGUAUUUGAAAUGAAAGCCAGACAAGUCAGCAACUUGACGCAGAGCCAUCUCCCAAUUCUGGAACUUUUCUGGAAAUCUUAUCUUAUGCUUAGCCAAUGCUUCUCCAUAAGUACCCUUCUGGUGUCUGACAUCAGAAGGAUACACCUUAUAAAACACUGGUAUAAUCAUCAUCCCAUUAUACUGGGCGCAGUGAACAAUGGAUGUAAGUUCAUCUAAGCAAAAUGAGGAAGAAGCAAAGUCUUCAGAGAGCACAGUGAUGGCAAUUCUGGAAUCUUUAAUUGCCUUCAAAAGUGCAGGUGUUAUUUCCUCUCCGCUGUGAAGCUUCUCUUCGUCAAAGAAGGUACGAAUUCCCUUGUCAGAAAGAGCCCUGUAGAGAUUGCUGGUGAAACCAUAGCGUGUGUCUUCCCCUCUGAAGUUGAGGAACACAUCGUAGAUGGAUGCACGGGAACUUGUUGUUGCAGCCAUUAUUAGAAGGAAAAAAGUUUAGAAUGAAACUUGAAGAAAUAUGAAAAUGAAAGUAUCCCAAAUUAAUGCUAAGUGUUAUAAAGAAGAUAACCGCCUUUGUGGAAAAUAGCUAAGAUGCUCUCACUUUUUUUCAUUUUAAAAAAAAAAGUACUUUUUUAUAAUCAAAUUGUUACAAAUAAACUAUAAAAGUAUUUUUAAUAAUUGGCAACUGGUGUACUAGUAAUUCUGCCCCACCCCCUAAAAGAAUCUUUAGAGAAUCAAAAUAUAUAUUAACUAAUAAGUGAUCUGAUAAUUUUUAAACAAGUGUUUUAUACAGAAGAUAGCCGCCUUUAUGGGAAAUAGCUGUGUUAUAAAGAAGAUAGCUGCCUUUGUUGAAAAUCUCUUGCUUUCUCUCAUUCAUUGUUAUAAAAGUCAAGUCAAGCUCUUAUAAAGGAAGAUGUUCUCACUUUUUUUUUUCAUUUUAAAAAAUACUUUUUGUAAUCAAAUUCUUGCAAAUAAACUAUAAAAGUAUUUUUAAUAAUUAACUGGUGGUACAACUAAUUAUGUAGCCCCUAUAAAAAAAUCUUUAGAGAAUCAAAAUAUAUAUUAACUAAUAAGUAAUCUGAUAAUUUUUAAUCACUAGAGCUUCAGAGUUCGUCUUUUAUAAAAAACAGAGUAAAAAUAUAAAAGAGAGAUGAAAAUAGAAAAGAGAUAGAAUCUGAGAAAAAAAAGUCAUGCGUGAAAAUGUUUUACACUAUCAAUUAAUCAUAUGAUAAAUUUGUUGAUUAUUAAACUAACUAGUUUAAAAUAUUAUCUAUUAAGUAAAAAUUUAUUAUGAAUGCACAUAGUUAUUUAAAAAAAUAUAUACUAAAAGGAUGUAGGACACUGAAUUAGGUUAGGACAAUCCAAAGCAUAACUCAGAAUCCAUUCUAAAGACUAUAUUGAGUCUAAUUUCAAAAUUCUAAUUCAUCUAAAUCAACUUUAAACCGAACUCAGAUGAUGAAACUAGUUGGAUAUUGUUCACCCUACAGUGUGAUAACUGUAAGGUUUGGAAGGAAAACAUUCUUCUCCAUUUUGACUAAAUCAGCAUCGAUUAUGCUAUUAGGAAAUGAUAAAUCAUUGAGUAUUACUAAAACUAACAGCUCUAGAUUUGUACACACAUAUAUAUGAUGUCUACCAGGCUUAAAUUACUGAGGUCAUAUUGUCAGAGAAACUGGAAUUCUACAUCUCAUAAAAUCUAAAAACAACCAGCUAUGUGUUCAUCCAAGAUAAUCCUUAUGAUGAUAAUGAAUAAGACAUUCACUUGAAGUAUAUUUGAUUCUAGAGAGGCAUAGAACAAAACACAUCUAUUUUUUAUUUACAAGCAAGCACAAAUCUAUUGAUAUGCUCAAACUCAGUGAAUUAGCAUUCCACUUUCUGAAGCUGUAAGCAGCCAAUAUAGUAGUAUGAUUAAACCUAAGAAACACUGUUACAAAUUUAAGAAGUUUAAGUCUUUCUUCUUCCUGCUCAAACUAUUUCUUCAUUGGAAGUUGAAUGCACCUGACCCUGCACCUUGCAAUAGGAAACCCCUAGAAGACCUAUUCAAAGCAAAAAGGAAUCAAUCUAAACUAAGAGGAAAAAUAAACCAUGGAAAUCUCAUCAAACAUUCUCACCAAAUCUCAUUUGCAUGGAGUCCUGCUGUAUCUGUAUAAAAAUGUUGAAUCGCAGUUCUUUCAUUCCUUCAAUCCAUUAUCGCGACUUUUAGCAAUGCAAAAAUCUUUUAGUUGAAGAGAGCAGUCACUAGUUUCCAGCAAUGGAAACCACUGCAGCAGGAGCAACUAGCAAUAGUUUGUAUGGGGAUUUUGAACCUUACAGAAGAUGGCAUACAGAGGAAGGACAACAGACUCUUGAGGAGUUUUCUGCAUUGCUCAUCAGUUUAUUGUCUCACCUCCACUAUCCAUUUUUUCAAGAUAUAAUCAUCAUCAUAUGAUCCCUACUUAGCAGCAUCUUCCUAAUCAAUUAUGUUGUUUACUAAAUUCCAGUUAAUCAGUUUCAAAUUACUACUAAAAAGAGCACAUGUUAUGACGCCAAAACGAGGUCGGUUCAAAUAAACCAUCUUACAAUAUAUGGCCGAGACAAUUUUAUAAAUAUGAGGAGUUUAACAAAGAAGGUUAUAUAAAAACUGCCUUAGAAUAUAUGGCGGUUGGCAUCGCUGUGCUUCGGCACGGCUGCGGGGUUUGAGGUCUGGCACAGUUGCUUCUUGCAAUGCUGUUAGUGUUCGUGAAGGACCCUUUCCCGCACGUGCAAGCCUAGGAACUGGAAGGGCUUGCUGGUUUCUGCGAGCCUGGCAGAGAGUCAAGUGACAUCGUUUUCCUGUUGGCAAAACCCUCGUCUCUCGCUAGUACCCUGGGAACCAAGGUUUUUUAUUUUUCUUCUCUUAUUUUAAAACCCUUUCUAUAUAGCUCCAUAACUUCAUUUUUUAUAUAUGGAGUGGUGGCUGCCGAAGGUAAGUUUUCAUCUUCUUUGAACUUCAUCAUUGCUAUUGCCUUCUAAAUUUCUGCAUUAUCAUUUUAAUUUGUGCAAAAGAAAAUGUUCACACCCUUGUUUAUUUUCUCUGGAUUGCUUCACAGAAGGAGAGCAGAGAGCACAACCAAGUGUUCAUCUUUGACUCACCAUGAAGCUCAUCAGGUUUUUCUCUCUUUGUUGAUUUAUCUGUGAAUUUUCUUCUGUUGUGUUUUUUUAAUUAGCAUCUCAUUCAGUGCAUUACAAGGUGAUGCAAGUAUAAAUCUGAUUUAGAAUCAUUCGAUAAGCAUGUGAAAGGCCUGCAUUUUGUGCUUAUGAACAGGGAAAGGAUAUUCUACUUGCUUUGUUGGAAAAUCCCAUUCUAGUAUCAGCCUCAAACUGUUUGAAGGCUAACUCAGAGAGGAAGUUCUCAGUAUCUGAUGUGUCUAGUCCAGAGAGAUCAAAAUGGGUUUAUAUAUUCCAGAGAGAAUAUGCUACCAUUGACCCCGCCCUUGUUGAUGUAAUUUCUUAACUUUUUGCAAUGUCAUUAAGCUAAUAUGUAUUACUUCAAAUGUAAUCAUUUCCCUUUGACUUCAGUGAUGAUGUGUAAGAGAUAAUUUUUGUAAAAUUGUAAAUUUAAUUUUAAACUAGUUCAUAGUUCAUUAUUGUAUGCAACUAUUAAUCUUGUGCAUGCAGACAAUUCAUACUUAAUUGGACUAAGUCACAUCAUAUGUGGAAUUUCUUUUUCCGGUCCAUUUUUUCAAAUGUUCCUUCUACUAGGUGUUCAAAUAUUGGUUUUAUUAUUUUUAAUUUAACACUGCAGGAUAUCAGUUGCCGCAGAGAUACUGAUGCAAUUUUCCUUUCAGGGGACUUCUAGAAUACAUAUACAUUGGAAGGGAGCCGCAAAGAUAGUUCUAGGAGCAUGUACUCAAUAUCUUGAUUCAUAUGGUCAAUUGCUAUCCAUUGAAGAAGAGAAAAAGGUUAGGGAUGGCAGUUUCAAGUCCAGAGAGCUUGCUGAUGGAAUGAAAUUCAUUUAAUUGAACAUUGGAGAUGUUAUUUUAUUUUUCUUUUGGUUUAGAACAAUCAGAAAUUAAGGAAAAAUACAUGGAACAAGGUUUCCAACAAAUUUCUUUUUUCUUAUCAAUGUGAUUAUAGUGUCAUUUGAAGUUACUCUGAUAGAGAACCAAAUCAAGAAAUGGGGAAAAAAUCAAAGCACAUUGUUCCUUUAUUGGAAGCCUAACUCUCACCUUGCAAUGCUAGAAUUGGAACAAGCAACUCCCCAGAAGACCCAUUUAAACAAAAAAGGAAUUAUUCUCAACCAAGAGGAAAAUUAAACCAUGAAAAUCCCAUUACGGUUUCUCACCAGAAUCUCAUUUGCAUGCAGUACGAUAUUUGUAUGAAAAAUGUUUAGUCACAAUUCUUUCAUUCAUUCAAUCCAUUAUCAUAACUUUUUGCAAUACAAAUAUUUCUAGUUUAGCCGUUUAAGAGGGCAUUCACCAGUUUCCUGCAAUGGAAAAUGAUGCUGGAGCAACUAGCAAUAGUUUGUAGGGGAUUUUGAACCUUACCGCAAAUGGCUUACAAAGGAAGGACAACAGACUCUUGAAGAGUUUUCUGACUUUGCCUUCUCUGUUUCUUAGCAUUUUCACCUCAACAUUUAUUUUUAGAUAGUGGUGUCUGUUGGACUUUGACUUGUUUAUUUCUUAGGCUGCUUCCUAUCCUUAUUAAUGGCACGUUUUUAAUCUCCAUUCAUAAAUUUAAAAACAACAAGCUAUCAGCCAUCCUAAGACAAUCCUUAUCAAGAAAAUGAAGAAGACAUUAUCUAGCUUAAAUUACACUAGUUAUUCCUUAGAUUUGGUGAAAUUUUCACAACCUUUUCAUACUUUUUUUACCCCUACACUAACCCCUCAAUUAUUUCAAAAAUAUUAUUCCAGUACCUCUUAUACAUUAUACUAACCUUCCUUAAUUGUUUGAAGAACAUUACACUGUGUUCACUUAUAAAGAAGGUAGUUGUAAAUGUUAAAAAAAAUAAUACUUAAUAAUUUAGAGAGGCAUAUAGAAGUAGAAGUAAACACAAAUCUAUUUAUAUGCCCAACUCAAACUCAAUAAGAAUCCUAAGUAGACAUUCUUCUUACAAGUAUAAAAAAUUUAACUUUCUCAACUGCUAUGAACAGUUGAUAUAGAUCAUAUAGUAGUAUGCUAGCUAAAUCCUAAGAAGUACACUUUCAAAAUUUAACUAAUUGAAGUUUUUCUCCUUCCUGAUCAAAUUAUUUAGCAUAACCAGCGGGAAUCUGAUCAUCGUAGCAAUUAGAAGAGAAAAAGUUAAACAUCCAAAAACAAAUGUAUAUACAUACAAAAAUAAAUAUAAAAAUAAAUUACAAAUAUAUUAUUAUAUUGUUUUAUAGUAGAACUUGUAAGGGAAAAUCUAAAAGUAAACAAAAAGUAUAUUAAAGAUUUCUUUUUACUUUAUUUUAAUUACAAUGUAUAUAUAAGAUAAAUACCUGUUGGUUUAUGUAAUUUUGAAGUGUAACUAUAAAAAUAUAUACAAAGAUAAAACUUGAAAGGUUAUAUAUAGAAAAUGCAUAAAGUAGUGAAAGAUGAAUAUAAAUGAGUCAAAAGUACAUGAUGAAGAUAGGGUGAAGAGCAGUUGGGUUAAGUCAAUUUUUUUCAACUGAAACCAAAAUAAUAAAAUAAAAAACAAAAAAAAAUAAGAAAAAAGCUAUGGAAAACUUGCGUGUUCCCAAAGCUAUGGUUUGUAGUAAGGAGCGGCUUUCUGAUGCAGAGCUGCUGAGAUAUGGAUCAUCAAAUCGAAUAUCUUCCUCCAUACUGCCUUCUUCUCUGAAUAUAUGGAUUCCAGUUGCUUUAAUGAGUGAGCUCUCUAAGUCUAACACACCUUCUUUUCUUUUUUGCUUUUCAUAGUCUAACACACUUUGAUAUCUAACCUCCACAUGGUUCCAUUCCUUUUCCCUAGCCACUUCUAAAGCAAACAGAGAUCUAGAGGGACGAAAGAUAUGUGUAUGAUCCAAUUUCAACAUACUGUAACUUUCAUAAUCGAGCAGAUAGUUUAGAAUUUUUCCAUCGAUGAACACCUUGGGUAUAACGAAAGUUUGCAGGUCAUCCGACACAGGUGCAAUAAGAAGACAAAGAAGUUUGGAAGGGAAUUUAUUACGAAACCAGAAAGAACUUGAAUGUCCACUGCUUUGCUGAUCCAACCACUCUGGUAUUCUUGUUCCUGGAAACACAAACUCGGUUCCUCCAGCCUCAUACAGUUCCUGUUAGUCAUAAUUCAUACAGAAUUCAUAAGUUUAACAACAUUAAGUGCACUAUACAUCAUCAAAUCCUGUACAGUAACAAAAAAGACAAUACCUGAUUUAAAAACAUGCUUUUACUCGAGGAAGUCAAGGAUGCACAGUUUCUUGCAUGGAAAUAACAUAAGUUUGGUGGAAGCCCUCUAAUUUCCUGAAGAUGCUCGCAAUCACUCACCAUAAGUGCUCUUAAAAAUUUCAAUUCUUUGAAGAAUUCAGGAAGGAUUGUGAAAUUAUUCCCCGAUAGAUCUAAAUAUCCUACACGAGCAAACCUCUUGGAACCUGUUAAAAAAAAUCAUCACAGAGAUUGCAAUUCAUGGCAGAAAACGAAAGUUUCAUUGAAGACGGUAUUGAGCCCACUUUUUCUUCACCUCCUUCCGAUUCUACCCAUUGCCACCUGUUACAAUUUUUAAUUUGGAAUCGAAACAGAUUGGGCAUCAUGGCUAAGCUACAUCGUAACUGAACAAUUCCACAGCUCCACAGGGAUAACAGUUGGAGUCCAAUAAGAUUUUGAAAUGAAAAUGGCAAUUCUUUUAUGGGAAGGCCAUCCAAUUCAAGGCUCUUUAUGUUUUCCAUCUCUCCUAAUAUUUCUGGAAAAUAAUCAAGACUGGAACAGUGAGAAAGUUCAAGUGUUUCAAGAGAGGUCAAGUUGAGAGGCGGAAAACUCGUAAGCUUCCUGCAACCAUAAGCACUCAACUUUUUUAAGUUUUUUCAGAAAACCAAUGGAGUCAUCAACUGCAACUAAACUCUCACACCCUUCAAAUGAAAGUUCCCUCAAAUUUGCGAGAUCAGAUACAUCAGGUAUCUUUGUUAAAAAUUCGCACUGGUCAAAAUUUAAAACUGUUAGAUGUCCCAACUUCUGCAAGGAAAAAAAAAAGAAAUAAGAAACAAAUGAAUAAAUUUAAUUCACAGAAUGAGAAAAAUAUAAUCUUUAAACUUGCCUUCGAUGGGCCAUGGAACUCAAAUGACUUAAUGGAACUGUUAGGUAACUUGCAUAUAACAAGGUUCAUCGGAUCAAAGUUCGAUGGUAAACAAUUUGAAGGAUAUCUGUGCCAUUCCAGUACUCUCAAACCUUCUGGAAAAUAACUGGGACCUUUGGAAAAUUUGCCAUUUCUAAUAAUAAGUAUUUUAAGGUUUUCCAUCUUCAUGAAGGCGUUUUCAUUCCAUUCCACUGUUUCUUCUUUGUCAGAUAUUGAGAAAUCCACACAUAUGAUUUCAAUUUUACUAGUUCCCUGUUAAUGCAAAAAGGCAUGAAUCAACCACAAUACAACUUGUGUGAAAUAUCAAUUGACUCGCUUAGAAAAAUUUACAAAUUAUCAAGAAAAAGUUAACUAUGAUGUAAAUAUGAGAUAGACAAAAAAAUUCAACUAUUCAUGAGCUCACUCACCGUGUUGUGUUUUAAAACUUGAAUUAUAUCUUUUGGUGACAAUAAUCUCUUGCACUUCCCGGGCUCUUCUGGUGAUCUCUGCCGCUCAAUUUCUCUACCCAUGUCCUGAAUCAGGUCGUGCAUUUCCACAGUAUCACACCAGCUACGCUUUAUGAGAGAUUUUUCAACCAACACCCCAAUAUGAUGCUUCUUGCAGUUACCAUAAAGAGCACGGAGUAUAUCAUCAACCUCUGUCCAUUUAUACCCUUUGAAGCAACACGCAAUGUCAAGAAAAACAUUCUUUUGUUCUUCCUCCAAAGCAUCAAAGCUUACAUUUAGAAUCUUUAGGAUUUCAUGACUGGGAAUUCUUUUAUAAUAUUCCACAGCAGAUUCCCAUUCUGCUACUGUUUUAUCAAACAAGUUAGAACCUAUGAUUUCCAACGCCAAUGGAAGGCCAGAAGCAUAAGCUACUACACCAUUCAAGACCUCCUCAUAACUUGGAUGAAUUUUCUCUCUUUUAAAAGCUUUCCAUGUAAGCAAUUGAAGUGCAUCAUUCUGAUUCAAAACCUUCACCUCAUAAGUUCUUUCAACCUCAUGAUAUUUUAGCAGAUGUUUGUCCCGAGUGGUAAUGAUGACUCUGCUACCCGGACCAAACCAAUCAGGUCUUUCAACAAUAGCCUUCCUUUAAUUGCUCGUGUUUGUCAACAUCGUCUAAAAUCAAGAGAACCUUCUUUCUCUGGAGCCUAUGUUGUAUCGUUGAAGCUCCUUCUUGCCAACUUGUUAAGGUGAUGUCCUUCUCACCAAGUAAUUUUGAAGGAAGGAUGCUUUGAAGGUGUUUUAACCCAUGUUUAUUUGAUUCUUCUCUCACGUUUUGAAGAAAACAGGAUUCAUCAAAAUGGAGAGCAAUCAAAUUAUAAACUUCCAGAGCAAGUGUUGUUUUUCCUAACCCGCCCAUUCCAUGGAUCCCUAUGAUUUGGACAAGAUCAUCGGAUCCAACAUCCAAAAGCUUCAUUACCUCUGUCACUUGUGAUUCUAGACCAACUGGAUAAUCCGCAAUAUGUAAAGAAGUACGAUUAAUCUUCCUAGAGACCUCCUCAACAAUACUCCCAAUAAACUUGUAUUCAUAUGCAUCUCUGUUUCAAACAAACAAAAAAAGUUCUGAUGAAGUCAGCCUAAAAUCCUUGCAUCCAUGUCUCGAUAUGUACAAUAAUUGUCAAGGUUAACAAGAACAUUUCUUUUCUAUUUGAAUUUUACUAGUUAAAUCAAUAGACAAGUAAAACCUAAUCCAAUAAAAACCAUAAAGUAAAAUAUAUUAGUAUGGUUUUAUACCCAUCUUCGAAAUGAUAGCCAGACAAGUCAGCUACUUGUUUCAAAGCCAUCCUCCAUUUCUGCAGCUUCUCCUUCUUAGCUUUGAACCUCUUCUGAUGCUUAGCCAUUGCUUCUCCAUAACUACCUUUCUGGUGUCUGACAUCAGAAGGAUCUACCUUAUAAAAGACCGGUAUAACCAACAGCCCUUCACUCUUGCAGUGGAGGAUGGUUACAAGUUCAUCUAAACAAAACGAGGAAGAAGCAUAGUUUUGAGAAAGCACAGUAAUAGCAAUCCUGGACUCUUGAAUUGCCUUGGAAAGUGCAGGUGUUAUUUCGUCUCCUCUGGGAAGCUCCUGAUCAUCAAUGGAAGUGUAGAUUCCCCUGUCAUCAAGAGCUUUGUAGAGAUUGCCAGUGAAACCAUGGCGUGUGUCUAAACCUCUGAAGCUGAGGAACACAUCAUAGAUGGAUGCAAGGGAACGUGUUUUUGCAGCCAUUAUUAGAAGAAAAAAGUUUAGUAUGAUAAUGGUUGAUAUGGUGGGAGUGUAGAAUCAAACUUGAACAAAUAUGAAAAAGAUAGCAUACAAAAUGUUUAUUAUUACGCAGAGUAACACGACAUAUGGUAACAAUGACAUCCUACCAAAGGAGAUAGCCUUGUGGAAAAUGUCUCGCUUUUUAUUUUUGUUUUCUCUCUGUCUGUCAAAUAAGUCAAAAUCGUACUAAAUAUUAAUUUCUCCCCGUCCCCCAUUAAAAUUGUCAGACAUAAAAAAUUAGCAAAUUUCACAAAUUCUGUGAGCUGAGAUUAAUGUGCAAGAACACAUUCUUUCAACUCCAAGUUGAAGGCAAUUUUGUGAACUUUAGCUCUCAAGAAGGGAACCGAUUCAAAAUUAUGAUUCAUUUAACUUUCCAUAGGAUGAGAAUUAGGCGUUUGUUCCAAAGGACGUUUAGAUAAAUAAAACUAAGCUGGUGGAAAUUAAUUUAAAACUGAAUUACAAUGUUAGUUUUCAAACAAUAUUUUCAGAAUUCAAUUUUUACGUACUAUUAUCAUAAAAAAAUAUCCUACCAAUUCAUAAAAAAUAAAGGUAGACGAGACCUGUGAAGUAGUUAUUAUUUCAAUAAUUAAUUAUAUACAUAGUUAAUUAUUAUUAUUAUUAUUAUUAUUAUUAUUAAUUAUAGAAAUUAUUUUUAUAUUAAAAUAUGUUGAAAAAUACUACUUUAAUCUAUUUUAUUUAAAUAGUUUAAAAAAAACUUUUUGCAUUGAAAAUUUUACUAUAAGUAUAAAGUUAUUGAUUCCUAAUAACAAAAAAGGUUAUUAAUUCCAUAAAAAAAGCAUAAAGUUAUUAAUCAACUGCUGGUACAUCCUUCCCAAGAAAAAUUAGAAAUUUUUAAUCAUAAGUAUGAAUUUUUUUAAUUAAUUUGAUUUUUUUAAUUAUAAACUUCAAAGGUUUCUUGCAUUAGAAUUGCGUUUGACUCAUUUUUGUAUUUUAAAGAUUGCCUUAAAAUUUAAAUUUAGAAAUAAGAGGUUUAAAUAUAACUAAAAAAUUUAAUAUUUUUUUAAAAUUUUCAUUAACUUAAAAUAGAUCAUCUAAAAUGAAGAAAUUAAGGAAAUUUGGUGGAUAUUGCGAAUAGAACCUUGGUGGAUGUUACACGGACAUAUAUAUAUCGUACGAAUCACGAUAAUAUUACGCGGACAUACCGUUCAAACUUGUGGAAAAUAUGUCUGUGUUUUUUAGAAUGCUACCGACACAUUAACAACCUAAGCAGCACAUUAACAAAAUUUAACUAAUUCUAGUUCCCAACCUCAUUUUUGGCUUAUUAAUCCUUCAAAAAGAUAGAAGUUCACAACUCACAGGAUUAUUGGAACAAAAUUUUGUAAAAUGAAAUCUCAAAUUCUUAAGUUGUAGUUAAAAGGAUCGAUCAAAAGUAUGCUAAGAAAAGAAAAAAGAAUAUAGGAUGGGGAAGGAAUUUAAAACACAGGUUUCCUUCAUUUACAGUUUACACAUGCACCUCAUUCUCACCAUGCAAUACAAUGAUAAGGAAUUAAGGAAGUUUCGUGGAUAUUGCCAAUAGAACCUUGGUGGAUGACUACGAAAAGAAUUCCAUUAAGAAUAAAGAAAUUAAGGAAGUUUCGUGGGUAUUGCCAAUAGAACCUUGCCAAUAGAAAUUAAGGAAAUUAACCCGAAAUGAUUGCAAAUAGCUUACAAAGGAUGGACAAGCGACUCUUGAGAUUAAGUCAAUUUAUUAUCGGAAGAUUCCAAAACAAAAAGAUUGUAUGUAGUGGACAAUAUCAUCGUGCUAGUUUUUAAUUUAAUAUUAAAUUUAAAUUUUAAGAUAAAAUUAGAAUUUAAUCUAAGAAUAAUGAGUUUAUUAUACUAAUUAUUAUUAAAUCAUCUACAAAUGUUCAUUUAUUGGUGUAAGGGGACAUAAUGGUCCCAUAUAUAUCACCUAACAAUUUCUCCAAAUGUCACACCUUUAUUUUUAAGGACACAGAACCUAAUAAUAUCGUAAUUAAUCGCUCCAAACUUGAUAAGUAAUAAGAGAAAAUAUUCCUUACAUCAAUUAAAAAUGGAAAGAAAAUCAUAAUAUAAAUUAAGAUGAAAUUUAUUCUAAUGGUAUACAUAUGGUAAUCUUUUCUGAUCUUAAACUCUUACAGGUUUCAAAAAGGAGCAGCUUAAGAUUCAAACUUACAACUGGGAGAUCCUAACAAUUUAGGGAGAAAGGCCUAUGCAUUAAUAACUGUUAAAUAAAUGUGCUUUUCAUAAUGAAAAAUAAAGUGAAUUAUUUAGCAGUUAUUCAUGCUUAAUUAUUAGAAAGUGAUGUUUUUUUUUUUUAAAUUAUGAUCUGCAAAUACAAAAACGGGAAGAAUUAAAAGCAAAAAGAUACACAAAUUACGAAGACGAGUUGAGGAUUUAAAAAACUGAAAAGUGCAGGUGCUAUUUUGUCUCCUCUCGGAAGCUCCUCAUCAUCAAUGAAAGUGUAGAUUCCCCUGUCAUCAAGAGCUUUGUAGACAUAGCCAGUAAAAUCUUGACGGGUGUCUUUCCCUUUGAAGCUGAGGAACACAUCGUAGAUGGAUGCACAGGAACGUGUUGUUGCAGCCAUUGUUAGAAGAAAAAAGUUUUGUAUGAUAAUGGUUGAUACGUUGGGAGUGUAGAAUCAAACUUGAACAAAUAUGAAAAAGAUAGUAUACCAAAUGCUAAGUGGGGUGUAACGAAUGGAAUGUCACGUGGGGAGAAGGUUAACAAUACUGCUGAGUCAUCAAGUGAGAGAGGAUUGCAUAACAAACUUGCUGAUUUUGAGGAAUUGGGACGUGGGAAGAGAGAGAAGAAACCAAGUUGGAAAAUAACGGAAUCCCACUAGUGUAUAAGGGAAAGUAGUGGGAGUGUGAUAGGCAUGAUGUAUGAUGAAUGAAAAUUCUCUUCCUCUCUGAUUAUUCUCUCUUCCAUUCUGAAUUUCUUUUGCAUCUUGUACUUUUGCUCUUAUUUUCACACUGAAAACUAAGAGUUGUAUCCAUCAAUAAAAGUACUUCGUCCCUUUCCAAUUGAAUUACUGUUUCAUUAAUUACUUAGCAUUACAUUGGUGCUUUCAUCUCACCAUGGCAGACAACACCCGUAUGAAGGAGGUUUAUGCAGAAUUGAAGAAAAACGCUGAUGCGAUUACUCGUGUUAGUGACGAUCUUCAGAACCAUAUUGAACGGUUGGAAGCUACAAAUCACGCUCAGAUGGAGAAGAUUGAAGUGAUGCAGUCGACGAAUGAUUCUCAAUUCUCACAACUGAAUGCAGUAAUGUCACAGGUGCUGCAGCGUCUACAAAACAUUCCGAUGUCUUCCCAUGGUGCAUCGAACUCACAGAAAGAGCAGCAGAGAAGUUCGUUUCAGGUGAGAUCUGUCAAACUUGAUUUUCCUCGCUUUGAUGGAAAAAAUGUGAUGGAUUGGAUAUUCAAGGCUGAACAAUUUUUCGAUUACUAUGCAACACCAGAUGCUGAUAGAUUGAUUAUUGCUUCAGUACAUUUAGAUCAGGAUGUUGUCCCUUGGUAUCAAAUGCUUCAAAAAACUGAACCAUUCAGUUCAUGGCAAGCAUUUACUAGAGCCUUAGAACUUGAUUUUGGACCAUCUGCUUAUGACUGUCCUCGUGCUACUUUGUUUAAACUGAAUCAAUCUGCAACUGUGAAUGAAUAUUAUAUGCAAUUCACUGCUCUAGUAAAUAGAGUAGAUGGAUUAAGUGCAGAGGCAAUUUUGGAUUGCUUUGUUAGUGGGUUGCAGGAAGAAAUCAGCAGGGAUGUGAAAGCAAUGGAACCCCGUACCUUAACCAAGGCAGUUGCAUUGGCCAAAUUAUUUGAAGAAAAAUACACUUCACCACCUAAAACAAAAACAUUCUCAAACCUAGCCAGAAAUUUUACCUCAAACACUUCAGCCACACAGAAAUAUCCACCAACUAACCAAAAAAAUGACAAUCCAAAACCAAAUUUACCACCACUUCUACCUACACCAUCAACCAAACCAUUCAACCUUCGAAACCAAAACAUCAAAAAAAUUUCCCCUGCUGAGAUUCAAUUGAGAAGAGAAAAGAAUCUGUGUUACUUUUGUGAUGAAAAAUUUUCCCCUGCACACAAGUGUCCUAAUAGACAAGUUAUGCUGUUACAACUGGAGGAAACAGAUGAGGAUCAAACUGAUGAACAGGUAAUGGUGACUGAAGAAGCUAACAUGGAUGAUGAUACUCAUCAUUUGUCCUUAAAUGCUAUGAGAGGAUCAAAUGGUGUGGGCACUAUUCGAUUUACUGGCCAAGUGGGAGGCAUAGCAGUUAAGAUAUUGGUGGAUGGAGGUAGCUCUGACAACUUCAUUCAGCCUAGAGUGGCUCAGGUGCUUAAGUUACCAGUGGAACCAGCUCCUAAUCUUCGAGUUUUAGUGGGAAAUGGACAGAUUCUGAGUGCAGAAGGAAUUGUUCAGCAAUUACCAUUACAUAUUCAAGGCCAAGAAGUGAAAGUGCCAGUGUACUUGUUACAAAUUUCUGGUGCAGAUGUGAUAUUGGGGUCCACAUGGUUAGCAACAUUAGGUCCUCAUGUAGCUGACUAUGCAGCAUUGACCUUGAAAUUCUUCCAAAAUGAUAAAUUCAUUACUUUACAAGGUGAAGGUAAUUCAGAAGCAACACAGGCUCAGCUCCAUCAUUUCAGAAGAUUGCAAAACACAAAGUCAAUUGAAGAGUGCUUUGCAAUACAAUUGAUUCAGAAGGAAGUACCAGAAGACACUUUGAAGGAUUUACCAACAAAUAUUGAUCCUGAAUUGGCCAUCUUACUCCACACUUAUGCUCAAGUGUUUGCAGUACCAGCAUCACUGCCACCUCAGAGGGAACAGGAUCAUGCUAUACCACUGAAACAAGGGUCAGGCCCCGUUAAAGUAAGACCAUACAGAUAUCCUCACACACAAAAGGAUCAGAUUGAAAAGAUGAUACAAGAAAUGUUGGUUCAAGGCAUCAUUCAACCAAGUAACAGUCCAUUUUCCUUACCCAUACUGCUUGUUAAGAAGAAAGAUGGAAGUUGGAGAUUCUGCACAGAUUAUAGAGCUUUGAAUGCAAUCACUGUGAAGGAUAGCUUUCCAAUGCCAACAGUGGAUGAACUGCUAGAUGAACUACAUGGAGCUCAAUAUUUUUCAAAACUGGAUUUGAGGUCAGGAUACCAUCAAAUUCUGGUACAGCCUGAGGAUAGAGAGAAAACUGCUUUUAGAACACAUCAUGGCCAUUAUGAAUGGUUAGUGAUGCCAUUUGGUCUUACUAAUGCACCAGCCACAUUCCAAUGCUUAAUGAACAAAAUAUUUCAGUUUGCUCUCAGAAAAUUUGUUCUUGUGUUUUUUGAUGACAUCUUGAUAUAUAGUGCUUCUUGGAAGGAUCAUCUCAAGCACUUGGAAUCUGUGCUACAGACCUUGAAGCAACAUCAGUUAUUUGCUAGAUUGUCCAAAUGUUCAUUUGGAGAUACAGAAGUUGAUUACUUGGGCCACAAGGUAUCUGGGUUAGGAGUUUCCAUGGAGAAUACAAAGGUACAAGCAGUAUUAGAUUGGCCUACUCCAAAUAAUGUCAAGCAGUUAAGGGGAUUUCUAGGCUUAACAGGCUAUUAUAGAAGAUUUAUUAAAUCUUAUGCCAAUAUUGCUGGACCAUUAACUGAUCUUUUACAAAAAGACAGUUUCUUAUGGAAUAAUGAAGCAGAAGCAGCAUUUGUCAAGCUCAAAAAAGCCAUGACGGAGGCUCCAGUAUUAUCACUACCAGAUUUUUCUCAACCAUUUAUUCUGGAAACUGACGCAUCAGGUAUUGGUGUGGGAGCAGUGUUGGGACAGAAUGGCCACCCAAUUGCUUAUUUUUCAAAAAAAUUGGCACCUAGAAUGCAGAAACAAUCAGCUUAUACCAGGGAGUUGCUAGCUAUUACUGAGGCUCUAUCCAAAUUCAGACACUACUUAUUAGGCAACAAAUUCAUUAUCAGGACUGAUCAAAGAAGUUUGAAAAGUUUGAUGGAUCAGUCUUUACAAACCCCUGAACAACAAGCUUGGUUACACAAAUUCUUAGGGUAUGAUUUCAAGAUUGAAUAUAAGCCUGGGAAAGAUAAUCAAGCAGCUGAUGCUUUAUCAAGAAUGUUUAUGCUAGCAUGGUCAGAACCUCAUUCUAUCUUCUUGGAAGAAUUGAGAGCUAGACUAAUUAGUGAUCCUCAUUUGAAACAGUUGAUGGAGACAUACAAGCAAGGUGCUGAUGCAAGUCAUUAUACAGUUAGGGAAGGCUUACUGUAUUGGAAAGAUAGAGUAGUAAUACCUGCUGAGGAAGAGAUUGUGAACAAAAUACUCCAAGAAUAUCAUAGCUCACCUAUUGGAGGGCAUGCAGGUAUAACUAGAACUCUGGCAAGGCUGAAAGCUCAAUUCUACUGGCCUAAGAUGCAGGAAGAUGUCAAAGCUUAUAUACAGAAAUGCUUGAUUUGUCAACAAGCUAAAUCAAACAAUACACUGCCAGCAGGACUACUCCAACCUUUACCUAUUCCUCAACAAGUUUGGGAAGAUGUAGCCAUGGAUUUCAUCACAGGUUUACCAAAUUCCUUUGGAUUAUCUGUCAUAAUGGUAGUCAUUGAUAGACUCACCAAAUAUGCUCAUUUCAUUCCAUUAAAAGCUGAUUAUAACAGUAAGGUGGUAGCAGAGGCAUUUAUGAGUCACAUAGUCAAAUUACAUGGGAUACCAAGAUCUAUAGUGUCUGAUCGAGAUAGGGUUUUUACCAGUACUUUUUGGCAACAUUUAUUCAAGUUACAAGGUACUACAUUGGCCAUGUCAUCAGCUUAUCAUCCACAGUCAGAUGGACAAUCUGAGGUGCUGAAUAAAUGUUUGGAGAUGUAUCUUAGAUGCUUCACGUAUGAACAUCCUAAAGGUUGGGUAAAGGCAUUACCAUGGGCAGAGUUUUGGUAUAACACUGCAUAUCAUAUGAGCUUAGGCAUGACUCCAUUCAGAGCCUUGUAUGGGAGAGAGCCUCCUACACUGACCAGGCAAGCCUGUUCUAUAGAUGAUCCUGCUGAAGUGAGGGAACAAUUAACUGACAGAGAUGCAUUGUUAGCUAAGCUUAAAAUUAAUUUGACAAGAGCACAACAGGUCAUGAAGAGACAAGCAGACAAGAAGAGGUUGGAUGUGUCAUUCCAAAUAGGAGAUGAGGUACUGGUGAAACUGCAGCCUUAUAGACAGCAUUCUGCUGUCCUGAGAAAGAAUCAAAAGCUGUCCAUGAGAUACUUUGGACCAUUUAAGGUGCUGGCCAAGAUUGGUGAUGUUGCUUAUAAGUUGGAGUUGCCUUCUGCUGCACGAAUUCAUCCUGUUUUUCAUGUGUCCCAGCUGAAGCCAUUCAAUGGGACUGCUCAAGAUCCUUACCUGCCAUUGCCUUUGACAGUCACAGAAAUGGGACCAGUUAUGCAGCCUGUGAAAAUACUAGCAAGUCGAAUUAUCAUCAGAGGGCACAAUCAGAUUGAGCAGAUACUAGUGCAGUGGGAGAAUGGCUUGCAAGAUGAAGCUACUUGGGAGGAUAUUGAAGAUAUCAAGGCAAGCUAUCCUACCUUCAACCUUGAGGACAAGGUUGUUUUUAAAGGGGAAGGCAAUGUAACGAAUGGAAUGUCACGUGGGGAGAAGGUUAACAAUACUGCUGAGUCAUCAAGUGAGAGAGGAUUGCAUAACAAACUUGCUGAUUUUGAGGAAUUGGGACGUGGGAAGAGAGAGAAGAAACCAAGUUGGAAAAUAACGGAAUCCCACUAGUGUAUAAGGGAAAGUAGUGGGAGUGUGAUAGGCAUGAUGUAUGAUGAAUGAAAAUUCUCUUCCUCUCUGAUUAUUCUCUCUUCCAUUCUGAAUUUCUUUUGCAUCUUGUACUUUUGCUCUUAUUUUCACACUGAAAACUAAGAGUUGUAUCCAUCAAUAAAAGUACUUCGUCCCUUUCCAAUUGAAUUACUGUUUCAUUAAUUACUUAGCAUUACAUGGGGCUCCAAGCAUUAUUUCACGCGCUCAUGUAAAUGUUUAUUAUUACACGAAGUAACAGUGAAAUAUGGUGCCAAACAGUUAUAACUACUAAGGCGGACACAUGGUACCAAAGACACGUUCUAGCGUGCGCAACCCAAACUUGUUUUGCAUUGCACAGUGCGAAACUUAAUUUUUCCCCCUCUAUUCCAGUUUUGCCCCUUUUUAUAUUUUUUAUCAUUCCUUACUUUUCUCUGUUUUGCCGAGGAGAGUGUCACUGCAAGCAUAACUGGUACGACGGAGCCAUCAGAACCACCAUAUAGCAUUUUGUCUUUUUCUCUUCCUUCCUCCCCGCUCUUUCUCCUUUCCUUCUCUUUCUUACCUUCUCCGUUGAUGAUGGAUUUCAGAUCUUCAAUUGCUUCUUGCACCACCAUCAACCACGACUUUCGCAUCUACAGUUGUGGCCUUUUCUCUUCUGCAAGAGAUUUUCCAAUGCGAUUUCAACCCAAUACACUGAUUUGUAAUCUGUUCUCGAUUCUAUGUUUAGAUUUAUGUGGAGGUGGUAGUGUAUGGUGGCACUGUAACUGAUAGACUUGGGCAAGUCUACUGGUUUCGAGGACCAGCUCCUCCAGUAAAGAGAAGAAAAGAAGAGGUAAGGCACAAAUGUAAAGCUGAAUAAUUCUCAUUGAUCUUGCUUGUUAUUGAGUACAUGGUAUUUAUAAUGGAUGAAAAUAACUAAAUUGAGCUACUGUGGGCCCCCUAAGGAAUUUUAUCCUAACAAAAUUGGUGCACUGCUCCCCCUAAGGUCAACAGCUCCAAUCCUUCAAGCAAGAUUCACGAAGCAUUCCUUGGCUGGCUCUGAUUCUUCUAAACGUAAUCACCAAGGUAAUUGGGCUUAGUAAUUUUCCUCUUGGUUCCCUUGGGCUGAUCUGCUAUGGUUCCUGCUAUGCUUACCCCUGCUUCCAUGUUCGCCUCUUGGUUCUCUAUUGCUGUUUCUUCUUCCUUUUCUACCCCUGCCUCUGCAGAGUCACCUUGUCCUCAAGGUGAAAUUCCUGACAGAGUUGGGACCAAUCCUCCCAUGAUGUCUCGUCAGGAGAUAACCCGCUCCACUGCACCAACACCUCCCAGGGAGCAUUCGAAGUAGAAUCCUUUCUACAAGAGUUCAAGAUGGCCAUGGGUGAGAUUAGUGGUUGGUCGCCAUCAAAGUUGUCCGGCAAUUCAAUUGCUUCCACGUCAUCCGGUGGUCCCUUAAACUGCUUCAAGGAAGAAAUAUGAAAUACAGGAUGAAUGCGCAUCCCUUCCGGAAAUUGCAACCGAUAUGCUACUGGUUCGAUCCUCUCUAGUAUCUGAAAUGGACCAUAAAAGCGUUUGGAUAGUUUGCCGGGGUACGCUGAGCUCCCUUGGCCGAUGUCUGCCGGUGUGGUCAGAAUUUGACCAGGGCCCACUCACCACAAUUGAAAGUCACCUCUCUGCGUUUCUUGCCAUUGUACCUCUUCAUUCGCUCUUGUGCUUUCAAAAGUUUCUUUCAAAUUGCUUGAAUGGUGGCAUCUCGUUCGACCAAGCUGGAAUCAACAGCAUCGAGCUUGGAAGAGCCUGUAAUAUACUUCGGGAAAGUAAACGGUUUCCGGCCAAAGGUUAUCUCAAAUGGAGUAGACCCUGAACUAGCAUUCCAAGAAGAAUUGUGCGAACAUUCUACCCACGGCAGAAGCUUGCCCCACCGACCCGGCCGACGAUGAACAAAGGCCCUCAGGUAUUGCUCAACCACUCGAUUCAAGACCUCCGUCUGGCCAUCACUCUUAGGGUGAUACGCCGAGCUAAGCCGCAAUUGGGUGCCACUGGCGCGAAACAGGGCCUGCCAAAAAUGGCUAACAAAUAGUGAGUCUCUGUCGGAGACAAGGUUGCGUAACAAAUUCAGUUAUCUUAUUGCAAAACUUUCCUGGUGUCUAAUUCACAAUUCCCUUAAUCUUGAGUUGUGACAGUUAUUUAAUUAAGACUCUUGCAUUUAGAUGUGCAUGUAUAAUGUAUUGAUAAUGAUGGCAAAUGUGAAAGGCUUCUCAUACUGAAUUGCCUUUUAGAAUCUUUUGUGCGAGGGUGGUUUCACCCUAAUAAGAUGAGUUUUAUGGGAUAGGGGUGAUGGUAGUCAAUUUUGGCCUUUUUGUCUUGGAUGCUUUUGAUGAGUUUCCACAAUUUCAUGCAUUGUUUUCAAACUCAGAGUGUUAACUCCUAAAAGCAUCUGAGUUUAAGAGCUUACCUCUCCAAAUUGCGCUCGCUAGUUUCUGUAACCGUUUCUUGGUGGGAUUGGGUCAUGCGGCGGGGAUCAUUCGAAAUCAGUCUAAAUCGUGAACUUGUGGCUGGAUUCACAGCAAAAGAAUGUUGAUUUGUGGCUGGACCCGAACAAUUAGGUCUCAGCUCUCAUGUUUUCUCUCACGUGAUUAGGGCUCAACUUUCUCACAAAACAGAGUCCACCUUCGGCUGUGUUGAAGUUGCUCCUCCCUCACUUUUUCUCUCACAUGUCUCUUCUCCUGUGUUGAAUUUGUGUCUCUCCCUUUGCUGUGUCGAAGUCGCCUCUUCUUUCACACUUCACACCUUCCUCUGCCAUUUGCAACAGGUUAAAGCUUCUUCCUCUGUCACAGCGACCCAUUCAGCUCAUCCACUCAUGUGAGUCUAAUUUUGGUCCAUUAUUUUCACUUUGACUUAUCUGUGAUAAGCUCAUUAUUCACUUUUUGAUCCAUUCAGCACUAAUGUAACUAUAAAUCUGAUACCCUGUGUGGAUGGAAGCUAUCAAUCAACUAUUUCUUAAACGUACUUGUGUGGAUGUUUUAUGCCAAAACAUUUGGUGUGUUUGGUUAAAUUGCUGCAUGUCACUGCCAAAUCUCUUUUUUAAAUUCUGUAAUGAUUAGUCUCUUGAUUUAUUUUUAACCACCAUUGCAUAUUCCUGUAAAAAAAAAAAAAAAAAACUAAAAAACUGCUAUUGCAUAUUGACUUAUAUUUUACCACUCCUUUUAGUUCCAUUCAUUUUUGCUGGGAGGAUAUCUUACUGUAUUUGAAGCAUAAAAGUAUCAACUUUUAGUGAUUUCUUUGUUGUUUUAUUUCAAACAAAAUAUUGGCAAGGUCUUUUGCUGUACCUGGAAAUCAUCUUGGACAACAAAGUCAUGGUUUUCGUUGGCCAUAUGGUCCGGUAAGGAUUUUGUUUUCUUUAGCUUUGAUAUGUUUUUAAUUGGUAUAGUAUGUUCCAAAGGCUAAAAAAAUAUGAGAUCAUUUUGAUUAAGUGUAGAGAGGUCCUAUCAUUGGUCAUUUUUAAUAAGGAAGCUAAGAUAAUAAUAUUGUUCAUAAUUUAGAUAGAGUAUAUCAUUGUCUUUUUCUGGCAUCCAAUCUUUUGAUCAUAUUCUUAGUUGUAUUCAUUGAAAAUAUUUUGAAUGAAAUGAAGCCUACACAUUCUGCACAUGCGUAUAAGUAUCAGGCCACGUGGGUGCAAACUAAGAAUUAUGCCACUAUGGGAUUUACAUCUUGGAUUUUAAUACAUACAGUUCUAUCAUGACUCAUGUGUCUGAAACUUAGUAAUGGCUACCAACAUUGGAUUUUUAUAUGGUGGUGUAAACGAAGCCGAUCAUUUCAAUAUUUGUUUAUCAGUUCAAUUAAAAAAAGAUAAAUUACAUUUUAAUUUCUUAUAAUUUGGCUUAAAAUACUUUAUUCUCUGUUUUGAUAUUUUAUCAUCUUAUAUUUUGUUUUAAUUUAUUAUCGCAUUGAUAAUUUAGUAUAUUUUAUCUAUUUUCUAAAGAUUAAUUAUUAGUAAGGUUGGUGUUGGAAGUGAAGAAAUAAAGAUAUUUUUUAGAUGCAAGAAGGAGGAAACUGAAAACGAAGCAAGUAGUACUACUGUGGUGUGGUGUUAUUUUGUUUGGUUGUUUGAUAAUAAUUGUAAGCAUCAGUAAUGGGCAGUGGGUGGCAGCACAUGGCCGCCGUGCUCCACCAAUCACCAAUCCAACUUCGCUUUCUUAAAUCAUAUCGACAUAAGGACAAUUUCGUAAUAUUUUUAUUGUGGAAAGUGAAAACUAUGAAUCUAGCCAGAUUAUGUAACUAUAAAUAAAUGUUUUAAGAUUAAAAGUUAGUCCGUGGUUACAUGACCACUUAAUAAAGUCAUCAAGUGCUUUUUUUAAAAUAAAAAAAUAACCAUUCAAAUAUAAUUUAAUAGUGUAGAUUCAAAAUAUUUUGCGUGAUUUCUAUUUGGAAAUGGUUGGUUGUCUUUCCUGGUUUGUGUGGCUAUACAAACAUUCAUGCUGAACUGUUUGUCAUCUUUCAUGAUCUCAAUGUACCUUGGAACUCAACUUAUUGGCAUCAUAAAAUUGUAGCAUACAUUAAUGUUUCAAGAAAUUAAAGAUAGAGUCUAAUUUCCACAGUUCUUGAAUAAAUUUACUCCAAUUAAUUUUGAAACAUGAAGAAUACUAAACUAAAACUGAAAGAAUAAUUACGGGUUGAAGUUUGAACAAAUGAAAUGGGCGGCUGAGAUCAUUCACAUCAAUGCAUGUGAUAAAAGUAAAAUACAACAAACAUUAAUUGGAAGACUUAUUAAUUUGUUGGUUUAAAUUUUCAUAGUCUUAACAAAUUCAUCAUAGCUAAUUUGACCAUCACCAUCGAAAUCUGCAGUUGCAAUCAUCUCCUCCACCUCUCCAACAGUUGUGUUUUGACCCAGUUUGAUCAGAACUUGCCUCAACUGCAUAGCACGGAAGGAUUUUAAUAUGUGAGGGCAUGUGUACGUAUGUCUUUGAGCAUAUAUGCAGUUCUUAGUUAAUACUAAUAAAUUCUAUAGAAAAAAAGAAGUUAACACUGAUAAAUUAAAAAUGAUCGAGUGAAAACUGAAAAACAAGAUUUUCUUCCUGAUCUUAUUUUAAAAUGUCAAAACCCAAUGCAUUGUUUUUAAAACCAAACAGGCAAACAACUAUUAUUCAAAGUAUGCCGACAUGUGACAUAUAUAAAUAUGUACAUGAUAUCCUAGCCUCUCACCAUACAACUUCAUUCCAUUUUUAAUAUACAAUUAUGGAAAAGGUUUUAUUAUUAAAAAUAAUACACGGGAAAUUUUAUAUAAUUUUCAUUACUUUUUGUUUUAAAAUUAUUGAUUUUUUUAUUUUAAAUUAUUAAUAUUCUUUAUAUUUCUACCUUUUUUCAUUAUUCUUUAUUUAAAAUAUCUAGAUUUGAUCUUUACAAAAGAAUACUACACUUCUAACCUAUUUAAAAAGCGCUUUAACAAUAUCAUAUAUUAAAUAAGGUUACUUUAAUCUAAAUAUAUGAAUAUUAUAUACUUAUUAAUAAAUACUUUUUAAUCUAUUUACAGUAACCUUAAACAUCAAUAAUUUUAGAAGGGCUGUAGCAAUUUAUAAAAUAAAUUUAAAUUUGUAAUUCCAUGAAAAGGACAAUAUAUAUAUGUGUGUGAAUUGAAAAAAAGGUUAUACAAAUAUUUUUCAUGAAUUAUUCUGUUAUUGAUUCAGUCAUGAAUGAAAAAAAAGGGAAGAUGCACUUUGCAACAUCUUGACCCUACUUGCUUUUUGUUCAAGUUUGAAGUAACCUUACUUUGUCAGAAAUCUCAUGAAUACUUUGAUUGUUGAUUGCAGUCAGAGAAACCAAGUUAAAAUUUAAAAAAAAAAAAAUUGAAUAGAAAGAAUAAAAGUUUAUACAUAUACCUCACUUGCUGAAAUGUAGCCAUUUUGAUCCUUGUCAAACACCUUGAAAGCCUCUCUGUAUUCUUGCUCUUGAUGGGUAUCCUAACCGAGACAGAAAACAGAACUGAACUUAGUAUAUGGCUAUUGUAUAUAUAAUUGUAAUAAUGAGAAGGAUAUUAAUCUUAGCAAAAAAUGCAAUAUUAAUUCCUUACUUGCACUUUGGACUCUUGUUCAACAGGCAGAUCGGCAACAUGUAUUCUAGCAGGAUUAAUCUUCUCAGAGACCGACGCAACAAUUCUCUCAAUAAACUUGUACUCAUAUUCAUCUCUAUUAUUAAUAUUUGAACAUUAAAUUGUGAGACAAGUAAAACUUAAUUAAUCCAAUAAAAAUUAAAACAUAAAAAGAUUGGUAUCAUUGGGUACCUGUAUUUGAAAUGAAAGCCAGACAAGUCAGCAACUUGACGCAGAGCCAUCUCCCAAUUCUGGAACUUUUCUGGAAAUCUUAUCUUAUGCUUAGCCAAUGCUUCUCCAUAAGUACCCUUCUGGUGUCUGACAUCAGAAGGAUACACCUUAUAAAACACUGGUAUAAUCAUCAUCCCAUUAUACUGGGCGCAGUGAACAAUGGAUGUAAGUUCAUCUAAGCAAAAUGAGGAAGAAGCAAAGUCUUCAGAGAGCACAGUGAUGGCAAUUCUGGAAUCUUUAAUUGCCUUCAAAAGUGCAGGUGUUAUUUCCUCUCCGCUGUGAAGCUUCUCUUCGUCAAAGAAGGUACGAAUUCCCUUGUCAGAAAGAGCCCUGUAGAGAUUGCCGGUGAAACCAUAGCGUGUGUCUUCCCCUCUGAAGUUGAGGAACACAUCGUAGAUGGAUGCACGUGAACGUGUUGUUGCAGCCAUUAUUAGAUGAAAAAAGUUUAGAAUGAAACUUGAAGAAAUAUGAAAAUGAAAGUAUCCCAAAUGAUAAGUGUUAUAAAGAAGAUAGCCGCCUUUGUGGAAAAUAUCUUGCUUUUUCUCAUUCAUUGUUAUAAAAGUCAAGUCAAGCUCUUAUAAGGCAAGAUGCUCUCACUUUUUUUUUCAUUUUAAAAAAUACUUUUUAUACUCAAAUUUUGGCAAAUAAACUAUAAAAGUAUUUUAAAUGAUUAAUUGGUGGUACAACUAUUUCUGUCGCCCCUAUAAAAUAAUCUUUAGAGAAUCAAAAUAUAUAUAUAUAUAUAUAUAUAUAUAUUAACUAAUAAGUAAUCUGAUAAUUUUUAAUCAAAAUAGCUUCAGAAUUCGUUUUUUAUCAAAAACAGAGUCAAAAUAUAAAAGAGAGAUGAAAAUAGAAAAGAGAUAGAAUCUCAGAAAAAAAAAAGUUAUGCGUGAAAAUGUUUUACACGGUCAAUCAGCUUCACCUUUUCAACUUAUGUAUGAUAAAUUUGUUGAUUAUUAAACUAAUUAUUUUUAAAUAUUAUCUAUUAAGUAAAAAAUUGUCCUGAAUGCACAUAGUUAUUUAAAAAUCUAUAUAUAUGUAUAUUAAAAGGAUGUAGGACACUGAAUUAGGUUAGGACAAUCCAAAGCAUAACUCAGAAUCCAUUCUAAAGACUAUAUUAAUUUAGUCUAAUUUCAAAAUUCUAAUUCGUCUAAAUCAACUUUAAACUGAAUUCAGAUAAUGAAACUAGUUGGAUAUUGUUCGCCCUACAGUGUGAUAACUAUAAGGUUUGGAAGGAAAACAUUCUUCAUUUUGACUAAAUCAGCAUCGCUUAUGCUAUUAGGAAAUGAUAAAUCACUGAGUAUUACUGAAACUAACAGCUCUAGAUUUGUACACACAUAUAUAUAUGAUGUCUACCAGGCUUAAAUUACUGAGGUCAUAUUGUCAGAGAAACUGGAAUUCCACAUCUCAUAAAAUCUAAAAACAACCAGCUAUGUGUUCAUCCAAGACAAUCCUUAUGAUGAUAAUGAAUAAGACAUUCACUUGAAGUAUAUUUGAUUCUAGAGAGGCGUAGAACAAAACACAUCUAUUUUUUAUUUAUAAGCAAACACAAAUCUACUGAUAUGCUCAAACUCAGAGUGACUUAGCAUCCUAGGUAGGCAUUCUGCUAUAGAAAAGUAUAGCAAAUUCCACUUUCUGAAGUGCAGUAAGCAGCCAAUAUAGUAGUAUGAUUAAACCUAAGCAACACUGUUACAAAUUUAACUAGUCUAAGUCUUUCUUCUUCCUCCUCAAACUAUUUCUUCAUUGGAAGUUGAAUGCACCUGACCUUCACCUUGCAAUAGGGAACCCCUAGAAAACCUAUUCAAAGCAAAAAGGAAUCAAUAUUCUAAACUAAGAGGAAAAAUAAACCAUGGAAAUCCCAUUAAACAUUCUCACCAAAAUCUCAUUUGCAUGGAGUCCUGCUGUAUUUGUAUAAAAAUGUUGAAUCACAGUUCUUUCAUUCCUUCAAUCCAUUAUCGCGACUUUUAGCAGUGCAAAAGUCUUUUAGUUCAAGAGAGCAGUCACUAGUUUCCAGCAAUGGAAACCACUGCAGCAGGAGCAACUAGCAAUAGUUUGUAUGGGGAUUUUGAACCUUACAGCAAAUGGCUUACAAAGGUAGGACAACAGACUCUUGAAGAGUUUUCUGACUUUGCCUUCUCUGUUUCUUAGCAUUUUCACCUCAACAUUUAUUUUUAGAUAGUGGUGUCUCUUGGACUUUGCCUUCUCUGUUCCUUAGCAUUUUCACCUCAACAUUCUUAGCAUUUUUAUUAAAAACAGAGUCAAAAUAUAAAAGAGAGAUGAAAAUAGAAAAAAGAUAGAAUCUCAGAAAAAAAAAAAAAAAAAAGUUAUGCGUGAAAAUGUUUUACACGGUCAAUCAGCUUCACCUUUUCACCUUAUGUAUGAUAAAUUUAAAUUGGCUUGUUUAUUUCUUAGGCUACUUCCUAUCCUUAUUAAUGCCACGUUUUUAAUUUCCAUUCAUAAAUUUAAAAACAACAAGCUAUCAGCCAUCCUAGGACAAUAUCACUUUACUUCCUAAACUUAAUACUUAUUGUCAUUUAGUCCACAAAGCUAUGCUUAUAUUUUUAUUUAAGUCACACAACAUUUAGAAUUUUGGACUAAAAUAAGUGACAUCUUGCAUUUUCAAAGAUUUUUUUUUCUAACCUAAAAAAAUAAUUUUUUAAUCAUUUUAUUACUUUGAGGAAUAAAUUUGGCCGUGUCUCCCAAUUUCAUGAAAAAAUUAUCAUUUACUUAUCUAUUUCACAUGUUUUUAUAUCUAACUAAUAUGAUAUUAAUAGUCAUUUUUAAACUUAGAUGUUUUUAUGUGAAUACUUAGUUUAGUUGACUUCUUGCACUUAAAUUUACAACUUUUUAGUUAUUUAAUUAAAAAAAUAUUAUUCCAUUAUUAUGUCUGAAAUUAAACUAAAUUAGAAAUAUAUUUAAAACACCAUAUUAUACAAUAAGUUUUAUGUUCUGUUUAUAAGAUUGAAAUAUAUUGUCAAUAAACAUACAAAAAUUAAUUAAUUAAUUAAUUAGCAUUCAAAUUUUUUUAUUAAAAUUAAAAUUUGCAAAUGUAUAUACUUUUAGAUCACAUAUACUAAUAUUAGUAGUAUAAAAGAAAUUGUAAUAUAUUAUUAAAUAUACAAAUAAAGUACAAAUAUAUUAUUAUAUUGUUUUAUAGUAGAACUUGUAAGGAAAAAUCUAAAAGUAAACAAAAAGUAUAUUAAAGAAUUUUUUUACUUUCUUUUAAUUACAAUGUAUUUAUAAGAUAAAUAUCUGUUGGUUUAUGUAGUUUUGAAAUCUGGCUAUAAAAAUAUAUAGAAAGAUAAAACUUGAAAGGUUAUAUAUAGAAAAUGCAUAAAGUCAUGAAAGAUGAAUAUAAAUGAGUCAAAAGUACAUUAUGAAGAUAGGGCGAACACCAGUUGGAUUAAGUCGUUUUUUGAAGACUGAAACCAAAAUAAUAAAAUAAAAAAACAUGAAAAAAAUAAGAAAAAAGCAAUGGAAAACUUGCGUGUCCCCAAAGCUAUGGUUUGUAGCAAGGAGGGGCUUUCUGAUGCAGAGCUGCUGAGAUAUGGAUCAUCAAAUCGAAUAUCUUCCUCCAUACUGCCUUCUUCUCUGAAUAUAUGGAUUCCACUUCCUUUGAUGAGUGAGCUCUCUAACUCUAACACACCUUCUUCUUUCUUUUCUUUUUCAUACUCUAACACAUUUGGAUAUCUAACCUCCACUUUUUCUUCACCUGCUUCCGAUUCUACCCAUUGCCAGCUGUUGCAAUUUCUAAUUUGGAAUCGAAACAGAUUGGGCAUCAUGGCUAAGCUACAUCGUAACCGAACAAUUCUACACCUCCUCAGGGUUAUCUCACGGAGUCCAAUAAGAUUUUGAAAUGAAAAUGGCAAUUCUUUUAUGGGAAGGCGUUCCAAAUGAAGUGCCGUUAUGUUUUCCAUCUCGCCUAAUAUUUCUGGAAAAUACUCUAGACUCGAACAGUGAGAAAGUUCAAGUGUUUCAAGAGAGGUCAAGUUGAGAGGCGGAAAACUCGUAAGCUUCCUGCAACCAGCAGCAUUCAAUAUUUCAAGUUUAUUCAGAAAACCAAUUGAGUCAUCAAUUGCAACUAAACUCUCACACCCUACAAAUGAAAGUUCCCUCAAAUUUGGGAGAUCAGAUACAUCAGGUAUCUGUGUUAAAAAUUUGCACUUGUCAAACUUCAAAACUGUUAGAUGCCCCAACUUCUGCAAAGGCAAAAAAAAAACAAGAAAUAAGAACCAAAUGAAUAAAUUUAAUUCAUGGAAUGAGGAAAAUAUACUCUUUAAACUUGCCUUCGAUGAGCCAUGGAACUCUAAUGAUGUAAUGGAACUGUCAGGUAACUUGCAUAUAACAAGGUUGAUUGGAUCAAAGUUAGACGGUAAACAAUUUGAAGGAUAUCUAUGCCAUUCCAGUACUCUCAAACCUUCUGGAAAAUAAUUGGGACCUUUGGAAAAUUUGCCAUUUCUAAUAAUAAGUAUUUUAAGGUUUUCCAUCUUCAUGAACGCGUUUUCAUUCCAUUCCACUGUUUCUUCUUUGUCAGAUAUGGAGGAAUCCAGACAUAUGAUUUCAAGUUUACUAGUUCCCUGUUAAUGCAAAAAGGCACGAAUCAACCACAAUACAACUUGUGUGAAAUAUCAAUUCACUCGCUUAGAGAAAUUUAAAAAUUAUCAAGAAAAAGUUAACUAUGAUGUAAAUAUGAGAUAGACAAAAAACAUUUCAUCUAUUCACGAGCUCACUCACCGUGUUGUGUUUUAAAACUUGAAUUAUAUCUUUUGGUGACCAUAAUCUCUUGCACUUCCCGGGCUCUUCUGGUGAUCUCUGCCGCUCAAUGUCUCUACCCAUGUCCUGAAUCAGGUCGUGCAUUUCAACAUUAUCACGCCAGCUAACCUUUAAUAAGAGAGAUUUUUCAACCAACACCCCAAUAUGAUGCAUCUUGCAGUUACUAUAAAGAGCACGGAAUAUAUCAUAAACCUCUGUCCAUUUAUACCCUUUGAAGCAACAAGCAAUGUCAAGAAAAACAUUCUUUUGUUCUUCCUCCAAAGCAUCAAAGCUUACUUCUAGAAUCUUUAAGAUUUCAUUACUGGGAAUUCUUUUAUAAGUUUCAAGGGCAGAUUCCCAUUCUGCUACAGUUUUUCCAUACAAGUUGGAACCUAUGACUUCCAAAGCCAAUGGAAGGCCAGAAGCAUAGGUUACUACACGAUUCAAGACGUCCUUAUAACUUGGAUCAAUUUUUUCUCUUUUAAAAGCAUUCCAAGUAAGCAAUUGAAAAGCAUCAUCGUGAUUCAAAACAUUCACCUCAUAAGUUCUUUCAACCUCAUGAUAUUUUAGCAGAUGCUUGUCCCGAGUGGUAAUGAUGACUCUGCUACCGGGACCAAACCAAUCAGGUUUUCCAACAAUAGCCUUUAAUUGCUCACGCUUGUCAACAUCGUCUAAAAUCAAGAGAAUCUUCUUUAGUCGGAGCCUAUGUUGUAUCAUUGAAGCUCCUUCUUGCCAACUUGUUAAGGUGAUGUCCUUCUCACCAAGUAAUUUUGAAAGAAGGACGCUUUGAAGGUGUUUUAACCCAUGUUUAUUUGACUCUUCUCUCACGUUUUGAAGAAAACAGGAUUCAUCAAAAUGGGGAGCAAUAAAAUUAUAAACUGCCAUAGCAAGUGUUGUUUUUCCUAACCCGCCCAUUCCAUGGAUCCCUAUGAUGUGGACAACAUCAUCGGAUCCAACAUCCAAAAGCUUCAUUACCUCUGUCACUUGUGACUCUAGACCAACUGGAUAAUCCGCAACGUGUAAAGAAGCAAGACCAAACAUCCUAGAGACCUGCUUGACAAUACGCCCAAUAAGCAUGUAUUCAUAUGAACCUCUGUUUCAAACAAACAAAAAAGUUCUGAUGAAGUCAGCCUAAAAUCCUUGCAUCCAUGUCUUGAUAGGUACAUUAAUUGUCAAGGUUAACAAGAGCAUUUCUUUUCUAUUUAAAUUUUACUAGUUAAAUCAAUAGACAAGUAAAACCUAAUCCAAUAAAAACCAUAAAGUAAAAUAUAUUAGUAUGAUUGUAUACCCAUCUUUGAAAUGAUAGCCACACAAGUUAGCUACUUGUUUCAAAGCCAUCCUCCAUUUCUGCAGCUUCUUAGCUUUGAACCUCUUCUGAUGCUUAGCCAUUGCUUCUCCAUAACUACCUUUCUGGUGUCUGACAUCAGAAGGAUCUACGUUGUGAAAGACUGGUAUAACUUCCCUCUCGCAGUGUAGGAUGGUUACAAGUUCAUCUAAACAAAAUGAGGAAAAAGCAUAGUUUUCAGAAAGCACAAUAAUAGCUACCCUGGAAGCUAGAAUUGCCUUGUAAAGUCCAGGUGUUACUUCGGUUUCUCUGGGAAGCUCCUGAUCAUAAAAGAAAGUGUAGAUUCCCCGGUCAUUAAGAGCUUUGUAGAGAUAGAAAGUGAAACCACGGUGUGUGUCUUCCCGUAUGAAGCUGAGGAACACAUCGUAGAUGAAUGGACGGUAACGUGUUGUAGCAUCCAUUAUUAGAAGAAAAAAGUUUAGUAUGAUAAUGGUGGAUAUGGUGGGAGUGUAGAAGAAAAAAGUUUAGUAUGAUAAUGGUGGAUAUGGUGGGAGUGUAGAAUCAGACUUGAACAUAUGGUAACAAUGACAUCGUACCAAAGUAGAUAAGCCUUGUGGAAAAUAUCUCGCUUUUUUUUUCUUUUCUCUCUCUGUCAAAUAAGUCAAAAUCGUACUAAAUUUUAACUUCUCCCCGUCCCCCAUUAAAAUUGUUAGACAUAAAAAAUUAGCAAAUUUCACAAAUUCUGUGAGCUGAGAUUAAUGUGCAAGAACACAUUCUUUCAACUCCAAGUUCAAGGCUAUUAAUUCCUAAUAACAAAAAAGGUUAUUAAUUCCUUAAAAAAAGCAUAAAGUUAUUAAUCAACUGCUGGUACAUCCUUCCCCAGAAAAAUUAUAAAUUUUUAAUCAUAAGUAUGAGUUUUUUCUAAUUAUAAGCUUCAAAGGUUUUAUUGCAUUAGAAUUCCGUUUGACUCAUUUUUAUUUUGAAGAUUGCCUUAAAAUUAAAAUUUAGAAAUAAGAGGUUUAAAUAUAACUAAAAGAAUUAAUAUAUAUUUUUUUAAAAAUUUCAUUAACUUAAAAUAGAUCAUCUGAAAUGAAGAAAUUAAGGAAGUUUCGGACAUGCGGUUCAAACUUGUGGAAAAUAUGUGUGUGUUUUUUUUUUGUUCGUUGCUUUCUGAAAUUUAUGAUUGUGCGUAACCCGAGGUCUACGUUCUACAAAUGAAUGCCAUUUAGACUAAAGAAACAUGACUCCGCAUUUUCAUCUAAAUUAUUACUUUUUAGAAUGCUACCGACACAUUAACAACCUAAGCAGCACAUUAACAAAAUUUAACUGAUCGAUUCUAGUUCCCAACCUCAUUUUUGGCUUAUUAAUCCCUCAAAAAGAAACAAGUUCACAACUCACAGGAUUGUUGGAACAAAAUUUUGUAAAAUGAAAUCUCAAAUUCUUAAGUUGUAGUUAAAAGGAUCCAUCAAAAGUAUGCUAAGAAAAGAAAAAAGAAUAUAGGAUGGGGAAGGAAUUUAAAACAGAGGUUUCCCUCAAUUACAGUUUACACACCUGAUUCUCACCAUGCAAUACAAUGAUAAGGAAUUAAGGAAGUUUCGUGGAUAUUGCCAAUAGAACCUUGCCAAUAGAAAUUAAGGAAAUUAUUGCAAAUGGCUUACAAAGGAUGGACAAGCGACUCUUGAGAUUAAUUUGAAGGGUAUUAAUUAAAAUUCAUUUUCUCCUUAUAUGUUCUCAGCAUUUGGAUGACAUUAAUCUUAAUCUGCAAAUUAUAUUUUGAGUCAAAUUAUUAUCCAUUAGAAUUAGAUGUUGGAAGAUUCCAAAACAAAAAGAUUGUAUGUAGUGGACAAUUUCAUCUUUUGUGCUAGUUUAUAAUUUAAUAUUAAAUUCAAAUUCUAAGAUAAAAUUAGAAUUCAUUCUAGGAAUAAUGAGUUUAUUAUACUACUUAUUAUUAAAAAAUCUAGAAUAUUCAUUUAUCGGUGUAAUGGGACAUAAUGGUCCCACAUAUAUCACCUAACAAUUUCUCCAAACUUCACACCUUUAUUUUUAAGGACACAGAACUUAAGAAUAUCAUAAUUAAAAAUAUUGCUGACAUAAAUUAAAAAUGGAAAGAAAAUCAUAAUAAUAAAUUAAGAUGAAAUUUAUUCUAAUGGUAUACAUAUGGUAAUCUUUUCUGAUCUUAAACUCUUACAUGUUUCAAAAAUGAGCAACUUAAGAUUUAAACCUAUAACUGGGGGAUCUAACAAUUCAUGGAAAAAGGCCUGUGGAUGCAUCAAAUAACAAACGGAGCCGUUUACGCAAUUAAAGAAAUUAAAUUUUCAAAAGGAUGUAAUAUGAAUUCAAUCCGUGCAAAGUUUUCUUAUGGAAUUCUUUUCAUUGCAAUGCCUAAAGAAGCCGUCACGGAGAAUCAUUUCAUUUGGGGGUAAAGAAACAAGGAAAGAGAGUAUCACCCAUUAAAGUUGCAAUUGGAGUGGUGAUGCAAUAGUUAAGUUGAUUAACUAGACCACAAGAACUACAAUGAGAUGCGGGUUAAAAUCAGGAUAUAUAUAUAUAUAUAUAUAUAUAUAUAUAUAUAUAUAUAUAUAUAUAUGAUCUAUGCUAACAAUAAUGCAUAGGAUUACUUGCUUUCAUAAUAUUUUCUGUGGCAAUGAGAAAAUUAAAGCGAGUAAGGUGUGCAUAUAUAUUUUAUGUUUCCUUGUGACAUAUCUUCGAAGAAUAAUAAUAAAGAAUGGUUAUUAAGAAAUUUAAUGAGCAAAGGAGGAACGCAAGCGGAAAAGAAAGCAUAACCUAGGUUCCUUCCGUCUUUGGGUGUUGCCCAGUGGCUUGGCCACCGACGGAGUGGAUCUUUGCUCUCUACAAACGAUGGGGUUCCUUCUUCGAUCCUAGGGAGUUCUAACUGCCUCGGUCUCUAAAGUUUUUCCUUGUUUUUCCCAAUCGCGUGCCGUAUCACUUUUUCUCAUCUUGGGCUAUGAAAUAGUUGCCAGUUGGAACUGCUCUUGAUGGGGAAGAACAAGGGUCGUCAAUCGCACUCAACUGCAAAGCAAAUUAUGGUGAAGGGUACUACCUCAGGUUCACGUAAAUCCCAAACAUCUGCUACUUCUAGUCUGGCUGGUUGCUUGGAUGUUGUCCAAGUAAAUCAGAAUGCUUAUACUGCUUCACAGGAUAAUCUUGUAGGCAAGGUGCUCGUAAAAAAGGCAAGGACAAGUUUUGCAAAAACUAAUGAUGUCGCACACCAAGUGUUUGAUAAUUUGUCGAAAUGCAGUGCUGAAUCUGAAUCUUCCCCAGAGGUUUCUUACACCUUAGGGGACAAUGAUUCAACCACUAAUGAUGAUUCAUCUCACUCAUGUGGCUCUAAGUUAUCACCACAGCUAGACGACAAUAAGGCUCCCACUCCUUGGGUCAAUCUUUUCAAAGAUAACAGAAGCCCUUCCAAAGGUUUUGGAAUGAAGUUCUCCCCUCCAUCCUCUGAUGAUGAAGUGUUGUUGGAAGAAACUGAUUUGCAACCCCUGGAAGAGGCUUGGGGACAUAGCCUUAUUAGCUAUGUGGCUGGUCGAUUCCUAGGAAAGAAAGCUCUACUGGAUUGUUGCCAAAAAUGGGGAGUCAAGUUUUCAUACUCAGCUCAUGAAAGUGGUUGGCUGGUGUUUAAAUUUGAGUCUGAGGACAAUCUGAACCAAGUCCUCUCUGUAGGCCCUUACUUCAUAUUUCAAAGACCCCUAGUGCUGAAGGUUAUGCCAGCAUUCUUUGACUUUGGCAAUGAGGAGCUCAGCAAGAUCCCUGUCUGGGUUAAACUCAGAAAUCUACCUCUGGAGCUUUGGAAUCCUCAAGCCUUAGGAAAAAUCCUGUCCAAGAUUGGUUCGUCCAUUCGAUCUGACCAUCUUACUACUUCUAAGGGGUCUAUUUCUUUUGCUAGAGCUUUAGUUGAGGUUGAUGCUUCUUUGGAGCUCAUCGAUGAAGUGCAAUUUAGACUUCCUACAGGGAAGACUUUUGUGCAAAAGAUUGAGUAUGAAAAUAGACCUUCUUUUUGCACUUACUGCAAGAUGAUUGGGCACCGUCUCACUAAUUGUAAAAUUGUCACUGCAAAUAAGCAUGUUCUCAUCACAGCCUGCCCCACCUUGGACCAGCCACAAGUGGGUGAUUCAGCAAUGCCCCCACAUACCAAUACAGCAGGUCCCUCUAAUAAUCCAAAGAAUGUACAGACUAAUUUGUCUGUCCCUCCUCACAGAAAACAUGUUCUGGUUGCAAAUCAUGUUCCUGUCCUUCAGAAUUCUUCUGACCUCAAAGAAACAGGGAACAUUGAGUUGGAUGAUCCUAUAGAAGAGGGGUUUGUUCAGGUGAAAACAAAACACCAGAAAAAAGGUAAAAAAAAAAGUGCAAUUUAUAAAGACAACCCGUAUUGAGGAUAUGCAAGCUGAUGUCCAAAGAGGAAGAAAUCAUAAAGUUGUAACUAGGGUGGAGGAGAUUUCCUCCCGUCCGAAUCCAUGAUCAUUGCCUCUUGGAACAUCAGAGGCUUUAAUUUGCCUCUAAAGCAUCAUGCGAUGCAGAGCUUCCUUCGCUGCAAGGAAAUUAACGUCAUGGUUGUGUUGGAAACUAAGUUGAAUAAGGCUUCAGUUGAGGAAAUCAUGAGAAGAAAGUUUGGUGACGACCCGCCUCGUCGAUACGGUAUCCACACCCUAAUAUUCAAUAAUUUCAUUUUUUUUAUUUAUAAAAAGAACUUCCUUAAUUUUUUAUUAUGAAAAUAGAAGUGAUUUUGUCACAACAUAAAUUCAUCCAACAACACACCAUUACUUAAGUGAAUAUGCAUAAUUACAUAAAAACAAUAAUUCGGUACAGUCAUACACAUAACAAAAAUUAAAUAUGUUCAUAUAUAUAUAAUUAAAAUUCCAGUUUUACAUCUUUAACUCAACAAAAUAAAACUUAAAAAAACAACUACGGAGGAGUUGAUUACAAAACACAACUCUCUCCCAAAAUAACGCCAACGUCAUCACGUCGGCUCGGCGGCUCCUCACCAGAAUCUUACUCGCUACACCCUGCCACUGUCAUUCUGCUCCCACGAACAAGGUUCGUGAUCAUCACAGGUACCAACCACACGAUACAAAAUUGCAAGGGUGAGUUUAUUAUAAAAGAACCAAUACCAAUUCCAAAUAACCACAAUUAGCAAGGAACAUAGGCAAACAUGAUAAGCAUACACAACAAUCAUUAUUCAACACUCAUAUUCAACAAAUAUUCAUCAUUCACAUCCAACGAUUACUCAUCAUCCAUCCAUGGACCCAAUCAAGACUGCACAAAAUGAUGCAUGCACCUGACUCAACACUCAGAUGCAAUGUGGUACGUACCAACAACAACCAAAUAUCAGGAAAUAGCCUAAGCAUGUCCACACGACACUCUCACUUAGGGAACUGUGCUGAGUUUGUCGAGACCACCCGAUUGUGCACGUAACAGCCCCCCUCCCAUAGGUGAUCAACCUGGGAGCCCAAAGGUGUUCCCUACCAGGUGACAGCCCCCUAGUACAAAGUACACUUGGCCACAGUUACUCUAUUUCCUGUGUCGUAUGAGCUAUGAUCACGGCCAAAAGUGAAUGCCAAAGACCAUGGACCAAUUAAAGCACCUAAGCAUCCCCUCAGGAAUGCUUAGAUUCUCUAACCACGCUAGUUACCCACGUCUGGGCCAUCCGACAAGGUCAGUGCACUCUACCCCCCAUGACAUACACUUCAUACGACGUAUGAUCAUGACCAAAAGCUAGUGCCAAAGACCCUGGAAGGUCAGUGCACAGUGCCCCCCACGAUCAUACACAACAUCCAACGUAUGAACGUGGCCAAAAGCUAGUGCCAAAGACCUUGAAAGGUCAGUGCACAGUGCCCCCCACAAACAUACACAACAUGCACAUGCCAAUGCAUUUCCAACAUCAAUGAACAAAUCGUAUUUCCAUGUCAUUCACAACAUAAAUAUCAUCUCAUCUCAAUGACGUUAUCAACAACAACAACAACCUCAUUUCAUAUUCACAUAUUCAUCAAUAAUAACAAUUCAUGUUGACAUGGUCUUUAUUAACAAUGUCAUCUCAAAUCAAUAUCAUCAUAAUCAUCAUUAUCAUCACAUAUCAAUUAAAAUCCUCAAUAGCAACAUCAACAACAAUUCAAACAAACACAACAAUAUCAUUUCCACACGCACAGCCUUCAAACAGCCAAAACAAUAUAAUUCAUCACAAUAUAUAUAUCGCAUCCCAUUAGUUAAAACAUAAUUUUCUUUGAAGAAAAAUCAGCAUGCACAGGGACAGACAGAUAUUCUCAUAGCUAGGUUCCCUGACCCUAACUAUGGUGUUAAAAUGGUAAAUUUUAUAAUAAACUCCCCUUACCUAUAGUGAGCUACCCCACGGAUUCCUCGUCGCGUCACUUGAAGAUUCCUUUUUGUCCUUGCUUGUCGAUUCCACACAAGUCUCUCAAAAGAAAAUGAAAGAUCAGAUUAGGGUUUUCGUUCUCUACCGAAACCGCAAGCCAAGUUGGAAAUUCUGCUUCAGUUGAAGGGUUCUUCUCAGUGUGGGUUUUCAAUGGAGAACAAUGAUGGUUUGUGGUGGCUAAUGGUGGAUGUGGGUGAUGGAGAAAGUACUUGGAACUUUAGAAAUGGAUUUGGAGGAAAGAAAGAAGAAAAAAAUGACAUUUUUCCUAAGCUACAAGAAAGCAAAGGCUGAAAUGCUUAAAUAAGAGAUGCUCUCGGGAACGGAAGCUUCUAGCACACUCCAGACAUCUUAUCAACGAUCCCAACGGUCAGAUCAUGGACAAGUGUCUUUUGAAGUUGCAAACCAAAUUUCGAGAAAAUCCAACGGUGAACGGAGGCUGGGAAGCAUUUUUACCGAGGCAGCUCCAUGUAGUUUUCUCUAGAAGCUUCAUUAAGAGGCUUCCUCUAGAAGCUUCAUUAAGAGGCUUCUAGCACACUCCAGUCAUCUUCUCAAAGAUCCCAACGGUAAAAUCAUGGUAAAGUGUCUUGUGAAGUUGCAAACAAAAUUUCGAGAAGAUCCAACGGUUAAUGAAGGCUGGGCAGCGUUUUUACCGAGGCAGCUUCAUGUAGCUUUCUCUAGAAGCUUCAUCAAGAGGCUUCCUCUAGAAGCUUCCUCGUGGCUUCUUUGAGAAGCUUUCUCAAGAGGCUUCUUUGAAAAGCUAGAUCCUUAUCUAUACACCCCUCUAUUAACUAAAUUAACUUCCUUAAAAAUAAUUACGGAUGAAAAUAACGCAACAAAUAAUCAAACAUCAAACAUAAUUACUAAUAAUAUAUAGAUAUAUAUAUCAGGGUGUUACAACUUUGCUUCUCAUAAUGCUGGCAGAAUUCUUAUCCUCUGGAAACAGGAUAAGACUCAUCUUUCUGUUUUGGAGUCAAAUGCCCAAUUGAUUCACUGUGCUAUUGAUUGCAAAACCACUGUCAAGCGCUUUCAUGUUUCAUUCAUCUAUGGUUUUCACUCCAUUAUGGCAAGAAGAUCUCUUUGGAUAAAUCUGAAUAGUAUCAAUGCUAAUAUGAAUUGUCCCUGGCUUCUCAUUGGUGACUUCAACUCCAUUAUGUCUCUCAUCGACCGUUUCAAUGGAGCUAAGCCCAAUGCUUAUGAGUUGCAAGAUUUUGUUGAUUGCUAUUCUGACCUGGGGUUAGGGAGCAUCAACACUCAUGGCCCCUUGUACACAUGGAUUAAUGGCAGGGUGUGGAGCAAACUGGACAGAGCUUUAUGUAACCAGGCUUGGUUCAAUUCCUUUGGAAAUUCUGCUUGUGAAGUUAUGGAGUUUAUUUCUAUUUCAGAUCAUACUCCUCUAGUUGUCAUCACUGAGUUGGUAGUGACUAGAGGUAAUUCUCCAUUUAAAUUCAACAAUGCUAUUGUGGAUCAUCCAAAUUUCUUAAGAAUUGUUGCAGAUGGCUGGAAGCAAAAUAUUCAUGGCUGUAGCAUGUUCAAGGUCUAUAAGAAAUUGAAAGCUCUUAAAGCUCCCUUGAAGAAUCUUUUUAAGCAGGAGUUCAGCAACAUCUCCAACCGAGUGGAGGUAGCUGGGGCUGAAUAUAACAGUGUGCUUAAUUCUCUAAAGCAAAAUCCUCAGGAUCCUUCCCUUCUUCUUGCUCUGGCAAACCACACUAGAGGACAUACCAUUAUGCUUAGAAAAGCGGAGUCUAUGAAAUUUGCUCAGCUCAUCAAAAACAAAUAUCUCCUGCAGGCUGAUAAAUGCUCCGAAUUCUUUCAUGCUUUAAUCAAGCGCAACAGACACAGCCGGUUUAUUGCUGCCAUAAGGCUAGAGGAUGGGCAUAACACUUCCUCCCAAGAUGAAAUUGCCCUUGCUUUUGUGAAUCACUUUAGGAAUUUGUUUAGUGCUCAUGAGCUGACCCAAAUUCCUUCCAUUUUGAUCUGCAACAGGGGUCCUAAGGUUCUCACCGAUUGCUUUGCGGCCUUACUUUGUCCUACUUCUAAGCAAGAGGUUUGGAACGUUAUUUCUGUGAUGAAUAACAAUAAAGCUCCUGGGCCAGAUGGUUUCAAUGUUUUAUUCUUCAAGAAGGCUUGGAAUAUCAUUGGUGAUGAUAUCUUUGCAGCGGUUAAUGAAUUCUUUACAACUGGAAAAAUUCUAAAGUAGCUCAACCAUGCUAUUAUUGCGCUUAUUCCUAAGCAUGAUCAGGCCUCCCAGGUUAACCAUUUUAGACCCAUAUCUUGCUGUAAUUUGUUAUACAAGAUUGUGUCUAAAAUUCUGGCCAACCGCAUAGCCCCAGUGCUUGAGACUAUUAUUGGGGAAACUCAAACUGCUUUCAUUAAGAACAGAAAGAUGAUGGACAACAUCUUCCUAGUUCAAGAGAUUUUGCGCAAAUAUGUCCGAAAAAGAUUCUCUCCGAGAUGCCUCCUGAAAAUUGACUUGCAUAAAGCUUAUGAUUCCAUUUCCUGGGAAUUCUUGGAUUGGAUGCUUAAGUCCAUUGGCUUCCCAGCCCAGUUCUGUACUUGGAUCAUGGAAUGUGUUUCUUCCACUUCCUUUAGUGUGGCAGUUAAUGGAUCCAUUUAUGGUCACUUCAAAGGACAGCGGGGUCUUAGACAAGGGGAUCCUCUCUCCCCUUAUCUGUUUGUGCUCUGUUUGGAGUACUUUUCCAUAGAUAUGAGCAGUCUCAAGGAUGAUGCCAAUUUUAAAUUUCAUCCCAACUGUGCAGGUAUUCAGCUAUCUCAUUUGGCUUUUGCAGAUGAUAUUAUGCUUCUAUCUAGAGGAGAUAUCCCUUUUGUGUCAACUAUGUUUGCCAAGUUUCAGCACUUCUGUAGGGUUUCAGGGCUUUUCAUCAGCUCUGAUAAAUCUGCCAUAUACUCAGCCGGUAUUAGGUCUCAUGAGCUUUCUCAUAUUCAGCAGCUUACUGGAUUUAGCUUGGGUGACUUCCCUUUUAGAUACUUGGGUGUUCCCAUUUUAUCAUCUAGAUUAAAUGUAUGUCAUUAUGCUCCUUUGCUUUCCAAGAUUACUGGCCUGAUUCAGGGAUGGAGCAAGAAGUCUUUAUCUUAUGCAGGUAAGUUAGAGUUGAUCAGAGCAGUUAUUCAAGGAAUUGUGAAUUUCUGGAUAGGGAUUUUUCCUUUGCCGCAAUCUGUUCUGGACCGAAUCAACGCUUCGUGCCGUAAUUUUCUGUGGGACAAAGCGGAUAUUGGCAAAAACAAGCCCUUGGUUGCUUGGUCAGUAGUUUGUUCUUCGAAAAAAGAAGGGGGUUUAGGCCUUUUUAAUCUCAAGGACUGGAACCUUGCGCUUCUUUCCCGUAUCCUGUGGGACUUUCAUUGUAAGAAAGAUUCUCUAUGGGUUCGGUGGGUUCACCAGAUGUGUGGAAUUACAAUACUUCUUCAUCAGAUUUAGUUUUGAUAAAGAAAAUCAUUCAAAUAAGGGACUUUAUUAUCUCCAAAGAGCUAAGUACGGAAGAGGCCAAAAAGAGGAUUAAAUCUUAGAGCACCAAUGAACAAUUGCUUGUUGGCAAAGUCUAUGAAUACAUUAGAGGUGUCAAGCCUACUGUUAGUUGGUGUUCUGUUAUAUGGAACCCAGCAAUCCCCCCUAAGAUGUCUUUCAUUCUGUGGCUUGCUAAAAGGAACCGGCUGCUUACUCUUGACAAAAUUGCUUUUUUGAACAAGGGUUCCCUCUGUCCUUUAUGUUCAAAUGAGGCUGAGUUAAAUGCUCAUUUGUUCUUUUCUUGCAGGAAAUCUCUCCAAGUUUGGGCUCACAUUCGUGAUUUGGCUCCUUUCCGCAGGCGUUUCACUUCUUUACAGCGCAUUACUGACUCUUUAAUUAGGGGUAGAUCCACAUCAGGUGUUCAAGAAAAAUUACGUUGUCUGGCUAUAACAAUUACAGUCUACUGCAUCUGGUUGUCUAGGAACAAGCUGAUUUUUGAAGAUUAUCAAUUUUCUGUAAUAGAGGUUAUUAGCAAGAUUAAGUUUCUUAUAUAUAGACAAGUGCACCUGUUGCAUUUGUUUUAGCAUCUUGAUAUAGGUCUUCUUGUAUUAGGGAGACUUUUGAUUUUCUCUAGCGGCGGGGUAUGUUCCGUUUAUUGUUGUAUCAUUUUGGGUUUAAUAUAAUUUACAUUUUCCAAAAAAAUAAUAAAAAAUGGUUAAUUUGGAUCACCAUCACCUAAAUCCAUUCAUGCAUUGAUGGUAAUUAGUGUUAUGUAGUAUUUAUUUAUUUUUAUUUAUGAGUGAUUUUUAUAACCUAAAAGGUUGAAUUUAAAAAUAAUUGAUUAAUUAAAGUCUAAGAAUAAUUAUUUAAUGCUAUAAAAAAGUAAUUAAUUAAUUAAUUUUGUAACCGUAAGUUCACAUUUUUUUGAAUGUUGAUUCUCAUAAAAAAAAUUGUUCAUCUUUAUGUUGUAUUUUUUCAAUUUAUAUUUUUUAAGAUAUUUUAUUUUUUUUAGUUUGUAAUUUUGUAUUUUUUUAAUUUUAUUCCCCGAUAAGCAAGCCAGAUCUUAUGAUGAUUAUAAAUAAAAAAUUAAAAUCUUAAAAGAAUUAAACUUAAAAAAUUACAAACUUACAUAAAAUAAUUUUUUUUUCAAAGACAAUCAAUUUAUAUAAAUUAAAAUUAUAAAAAUAAACUUAUGAGAAUAAAAAAAAAAACACUAACUUAUGUUUAAAUCUUAAAAUAUUAAACAUAUCUUAACUUAAAACAUUGAUUCAGACUUGAAAGUGACUUCGCUAUGAUUUUUUUUAAAAAGGAAAACAGAAAAAAAAAAUUAAAGGCAUUACCUAAAAUGGUGUUUGGUUUGAAAGUUUUACGUUUUUAUUUAAAAUAAAAAUAAAAAUAAGUCUGUUUAAAAUUUAAAAAGUACUUUUUAAAAAAUAUUUUCAAAAAUAAAUUUAAAACUAAAAAUAACAUAUCAAUAUUUGUAGUCUUUUAUGAAAAAAUAUUAUAAAAAAUUAAAAUGCAGUGGCACUUGUAGCACUUUUUUAUUUUUACAUAUUUUCUAAAAAUUUGAAACAAGUUUGAUAAUAAAAGUAAUAGAAGUUACAUAUUACCUUGAUAAUUUGGUUGAAAACACCCACACAUAAGAUGUUUUACUUUAAGUCAGAUGUAUUUGUUCGAAAAGUAAUAGAAGUUAAUUUUGUAUGAUAAAAAUCAUAUGAAAAAUGUUAACCAAUAAUUUUGGACAUUGAUUAAAAAAUAAAAAUAAAAAUAUUGAAAAAUAUCACAUACGAUAGACUUUUUUUGUAAUUUUCAAUGCGACUUAUUAAUUUGAUAACGCAACUUCGAUUUUGGAGGGUCAAAUACGAUUUUACAUAUUUUAAUUAUUCCUGAUACUCUUCUUGAUGCAUAUUAAUAGUAUUAUUUACGUUAUCAAAAAGAAAAUACACUGAAUAAUAUUAUUCAAUUUAUCUUUCACUUGAUUCAAACUUCUUUCUCAUUUUAUCCGACUUUUCUAUACAUGAAUAUUGCCAUCCUAAAAAAGGAAUAAUAUUCAUAUUCAUUUUAAUUUUAAAUAAAACAACCGCGUUUCAUUUGCCUCUCUGACAAAAAGGCAGAAAAACAAACGUGUAGACCGUAAAAACACGUUUUCUCAUUUGCUUCUUUAGCUCUUAAUGGGGAAAGGCAGAAAAAUUAGACAUGACAGACCAUAACAAACACUUUCAUAGGACAAAAACAGAAAAAAAGCUAAUAUAUAGUUUUACAAUUGUGCACUUUGAUCUUUCAAAUUUUUUAUUACAUAUCUAGUCUCAAAAAUUAGAAACUAUUUUUUGUCUCACUCAAAUGUGGAUUCUUUGUUGCUUCUCUCACUCACACACAAAAUAGAAAGGCAUCAGGAACAAAACAAUGUUAGCGAUUGAAUUAUGGAACGGAUAACAAUUAUAAUUACAAUAAUAUAAAAUUUCGACCUUGAUUUUGCAUUUGCUGCACCAUUUCUCUCUAAGCCAUGUAAACAGCAUAUUUGGAUUAAAUUUUGGAUAUCACGCUUUCACCUUUAUAAGUAACUUUUUUAAUUUCUAAUCAAAAUACAUAUAGUUCGAAAUUCGAAGUUAUCUUCCAAGCUAACGAUGUUAUUUGUGGAUAAAACACACCUCGUACUAUGGUUAAAUUAAAAUCCAAACAUGCUUAAAGUGUUCAACUGAUCGAGCUUAAGUACCCAUGAGCCAAUGACCUAUGAUCAUACUCAAACACAAUCUUCAGGGUCUCGAAUUAAAUAUAAGCAAAAUUAAUUAUUAUCAUUUAAUUCUUCUAAUUACAUUCUGUUUAAAAAAUAAACUAUUUCAUGUGUCCUUUAUUAAAAUUGAAUAUCUAAAAUAAAAAAAUAUCAUUAAAACUAAAAUAUUAAUUAAUUGAAUUUUAUUUUUAGAAUAAUACCUUUAAAUAGAAUAAAAGCAAUUAAAAUUUAUUUAUAUUUAAAUCUACCAAUCCUUUUUUUUUGUUACUUAUAAUUGAGCCUGGGUAAAUUAUUUCUUAAUUUAAAAAAAAACAAAUACUAUUAGUUGCCAAUAUUUUUUAUAAAAUUACUAAUAAAUAGUAUUACUAAUAGUCCUGUUUAUAAUAUCGAACUUAAUUCAAGUUUUAACACAGGGUUGAAUGGCUGAGAUGGCUGAAAGCACGUGAAGUGGAAAAGCUGAACUACUGUCCUUGUUUUGCAGGGUUGAAUGGCGAAAGGACAUGUUUGACGAAAUGCACUUCCUUAUGCCACGUGGAUAUUGUGAGAAACAAUAUUGAUGUCAUGUAAAUAUUAUAUUAAUAAUAUUAAGUGGUCCAUCAAUGCUAAAAUCUAUUUUACUUGUAUAAAGGUUCUAAAAUCAAAUAAAAUUCUGAAAUGAAAAUGAUAAUAUUUUUUCUGGAACACAUUGCAAAAUAAUAAACUUUAAACCAACCUAGUAUGCUAAUAUCAAAAUUCUAAUUCGUCUAAAUCAACUUUAAACCGAAUUCAGAUAAUGAAACUAGUUGGAUAUUGUUCGUCCUACAGUAUGAUAACAAUAAGGUUUGGAAGGAGAACAUUCUUCUCCAUUUUGACUAAAUUAGCAUAGCUUAUGCUAUUAGGAAAUAAUAAAUCACUGAGUAUUACUGAAACUAACAGCUCUAGAUUUGUACACAUAUAUAUAUGAUGUCUACCAGGCUUAAAUUACCGAGGUCAUAUUGUCAGAGAAACUGGAAUUCCACAUCUCAUAAAAUCUAAAAAUAACCCGCUAUGUUUUCAUCCAAGACAAUCCUUAUGAUGAUAAUGAAUAAGACAUUCACUUGAAGUAUAUUUGAUUCUAGAGAGGCAUAGAACAAAACACAUCUAUUUUUUAUUUACAAGCAAACACAAAUCUACUGAUAUGCUCAAACUCAGAGUGAAUUAGCAUCCUAGGUAGGCAUUCAGCCAUAAAAAAGUAUAGCAAAUUCCACUUUCUGAAGUGCUGUAAGCAGCCGAUACAGUAGUAUGAUUAAACCUAAGCAACACUGUUACAAAUUUAACUAGUCUAAGUCUUUCUUCUUCCUCCUCAAACUAUUUCUUCAUUGGAAGUUGAAUGCACCUGACCUUCACCUUGCAAUAGGAAACCCCUAGAAAACCUAUUCAAAGCAAAAAGGAAUCAAUCUAAACUAAGAGGAAAAAUAAACCAUGGAAAUCCCAUUAAACAUUCUCACCAAAAUCUCAUUUGCAUGGAGUCCUGCUGUAUUUGUAUAAAAAUGUUGAAUCACAGUUCUUUCAUUCCUUCAAUCCAUUAUCGCGACUUUUAGCAGUGCAAAAGUCUUUUAGUUCAAGAGAGCAGUCACUAGUUUCCAGCAAUGGAAACCACUGCAGCAGGAGCAACUAGCAAUAGUUUGUAUGGGGAUUUUGAACCUUACAGCAAAUGGCUUACAAAGGUAGGACAACAGACUCUUGAAGAGUUUUCUGACUUUGCCUUCUCUGUUUCUUAGCAUUUUCACCUCAACAUUUAUUUUUAGAUAGUGGUGUCUCUUGGACUUUGGCUUGUUUAUUUCUUAGGCUACUUCCUAUCCUUAUUAAUGCCACGUUUUUAAUUUCCAUUCAUAAAUUUAAAACCAACAAAGCUAUGGUUUGGCAAAAGUACAUGAUGAAGAUAGGGUGUACAGCAGUUGGGUUAAGUGAAUUUUUGACAACUGAAACCAAAAUAAUAAAAUAAAAAACAUGAAAAAAAUAAGAAAAAAGCUAUGGAAAACUUGCGUGUCCCCAAAGCUAUGGUUUGUAGGAAGGAGGAGCUUUCUGAUGCAGAGCUGCUGAGAUAUGGAUCAUCAAAUCGAAUAUCUUCCUCCAUACUGCCUUCUUCUCUGAAUAUAUGGAUUCCACUUCCUUUAAUGAAUGAGCUCUCUAAGUCUAACACUCCUUCUUUUCUUUUUUGCUUUUCAUAGUCUAACACACUUUGAUAUCUAACCUCCACAUGGUUCCAUUCCUUUUCCCUAGCCACUUCUUCAAACCAAUUAUUAUCGUUGAAACAAAAAUCUUGGAGAUCAAAGAUAUAUGUAUGAUCCAAUUUCAACAUACUUUUUAUCUCCUCACUUCCAAAAUAUUUUAGAAAUUUUCCAUUGAUUGACACAUUGGGUUUAACGAAAAAAUACCCGCUGUCACCCAAGACAGGUGCAAUAAGAAGACAAAGAAGUUUGGGAGGGAAUUUAUUACGAAACCAGAAAGAACUUGAAUGUCCACUGCUUUGGUGAUCCAACCACUCUGGUAUUCUUGUUCCUGGAAACACAAACUGGGUUCCUCCAGCCUCAUGCAGUUCCUGUUAGUCAUAAUUCAUACAGAAUUCAUAAGUUUAACAACAAUAAGUGCACUAUACAUCAUCAAAUCAUAUACAUUAUAAAAAAGACAAUACCUGAUUUAAAAGCAUGCUUUUACUCGAGGAUGUCAAGGAUGCACAGUUUCUUGCAUUGAAUAACCUUAAGUUCUGUGGAAUCCCUCUAAUUUCCUGAAGAUGCUUGCAAUGACUCACGUUAAGACUUCCUAAAAAUUGCAAUUCUUUGAAGAAUUCAGGAAGGAUUGUGAAAUUAUUCCUCGAUAGAUUUAAAUAUCCUACAUGAGCAAACUUCUUGAAACCUGUUAAAAAAAAAUCAUCACAUAGAUUGCAAUUCUUGGCAGAAAACGAAUGUGUCCAAAAACGUGCCUCUGAAGAUAUUAUUGAGCCCACUUUUUCUUCAGCUUCUUCCGAUUCUACCCAUUGCCACCUGUUGCAAUUUACAAAUUUGAAUGCAGACAGUUUGGGCAUCAUGGCUAAGCUACAUCGUAACUGAACAAUUCCACAGCCAAACAUGGAUAACUGUUGGAGUCCAAUAAGAUUUUGAAAUGAAAAUGGCAAUUCUUUUAUCGGAAGGCCAUGCAAAUCAAGUCUCUCUAUGUUUUCCAUCUCUCCUAAUAUUUCUGGAAAAUACUCAAGACUGGAACAGUGAGAAAGUUCAAGUGUUUCAAGAGAGGUCAAGUGGAGAGGCGGAAAACUCGUAAGCUUCCUGCAACCAUAAGCAUUCAAUUUUUUAAGUUUAUUCAGAAAACCAAUUGAGUCAUCAACUGCAACUAAACUCUCACACCAUUGAAAUGAAAGUUCCCUCAAAUUUGGGAGAUCAGAUACAUCAGGUAUCUGUGUUAAAAAUUUGCACCAGUCAAACUUCAAAACUGUUAGAUGCCCCAACUUCUGCAAAGGAAAAAAAAAAAAAGAACUAAGAAACAAAUGAACAAAUUUAAUUCAUGGAAUGAGGAAAAUAUACUCUUUAAACUUGCCUUCGAUGAGCCAUGGAACUCAAAUGACGUCAUGGAACUGUCAGGUAACUUGCAUAUAACAAGGUUGAUCGGAUCAAAGUUAGACGGUAAACAAUUUGAAGGAUAUCUGUGCCAUUCCAGUACUCUCAAACCUUGUGGAAAAUAAUUGGGACCUUUGGAAAAUUUUCCAUUUCUAAUAAUAAGUAUUUUAAGGUUUUCCAUCUUCAUGAAGGCGUUUUCAUUCCAUUCCACUGUUUCUUCUUUGUCAGAUAUGGAGAAAUCCACAUAUAUGAUUUCAAUUUUACUAGUUCC